rnacentral:lncRNA from 1 species
UCCAACACACACUUUUGAUAUUCAUUCUUGUGAUGCUUGGAUCCGAAGUUUAUCAAAUGGCAGUGGCGGACAACAAUAUGUGCGAAUACAUUUGCAACCAGGACCAUAAAGUGUUUGACACCAUAUGUCUGCGCUACAAGGAAAAUGCUCAAUGCGACCCCACGCAUAUGAUUCUUUACACAUAUCUGUAUUCACAUAAAUAAUACAUGAACAAAAUUCAUAUUAUACAUUGCAAGUAAAUUUGGAUGAAUAAUUAGAGUAUAGUGAAAAUAAUAUAGGAUAUAGAAUUGGAUCCAUACAUUUGAACAAGAGACACGAUUAGGGUCGCGUAAAACAAAAUUUCUAACCUGUUGCAAAGAUGAAAACCAAUACAAAAGCCAGUUUAAUAAUUGACAUCCUCAUACUUAAGUAAUUGUCCACACUUGAAACUUGAUCAAAUAAGAACUUUUGAAUGGAUGUCUCAAAUCAUUGUGAGCCCCUCGAGAGUAUUACAACUUCCAAAAGAUGAAUUAGGUCCUUCAAUAGCUUAUAUUUUCAAUAUGCGUAUAAUAUCUAUGUAUUGUUAGUGUAAAGAUUUAUAUAAAUCACUACAUUAUCCACAAUUCAUUUGAGUUACAUUCUUUGAAGAGUCAAUGAUGAUUAAAUAUGAAUAGUGGAUGACGAAAUGACAGUGACAAUAUAUAAAACGCAUACACUAUUAGUCUAUACAUAUUUUUCUCUUUCAAUAUUAGAAAAAUUACAUCUCAUUUAUUCUAGAAUAAAUGCAUUGCUUUGAAUAGUCAAAGACUAAUUAUUACAAGAAGUUAAGAUAUUGAUGUAAUAUUUCAAUUGAUCCUUGUGUAUCGUACAAUAUGAAAUUCUUAUGUUUAAUAUUUAGGGUCCGUCGUGACAUUUUAUAGGCCAUUCACAUAGUAAAAUAAUAGACAUUAUUUAUCAUAAGAAAAUAUGUUAAAUUUAAAUGUCGGAAUUUAAAGGAAAAUGAGAGUUCAAAAUAAGUCACGAUGACAACAAAAACAACUAUUCAUUCAUCAUAAAAAGAAUUUAAUUAUGUAAAAUAAUUUGCAAUAAUAUUUCAACUAAAAAAGUCUCAUGAAAAUCAUGAGAAAAUGUAAUACAUUUUUUCUUGCUCAUUUAAUAUUUGUUAUUUGUUGCAAACUUGAGUAUAAUAUUUUAUGUUUAUUUUUUAGUUACAUUCUUAAUAAAUCUAAUAUUUUGUAUGAUCUUUUAUUUUUAGUCACAUUUCACAUGGAAAUUAUUUAGCACAAUAUGUUUUUAAACUAUUACUCACAUUCAUAAUAAAUUCAUACUUCGUAAGGCAAUAAUUCAAAAUAAUUAAUAAAGGUAAUAGUACACAUGUUCUUUAGUAGUGAGAUUUUUUGUGUAAAAAGAAUAAUUAUCUAUUUAGGUAAAAUAAUUGGUCCCGUUAUUUAUGCGUCAUGUAUGACACAUUUGUCACACAUGCAUAGGUAGACAUAUGAAUACUUAUAAACAACUCUUAUUUGAAGGGAUAAUUACUUAUUCCAAAAGAUAUUAUUACAUUUUUUUUGGGUAGAUUAAAUUUUCAUUAAUAUAAAACGUCUUCUACGAAUUUUGGACAUAAUACAAAAAUAUUAUUAUAAGUAAACAAAAAAUAAAAAAUAAUGACAAAACCACAAUAAAAAUACUUACAUUUAAUGUUGUAGUAUCAUAUAUGAUAGUUCAACUUUUUCAGACAAGGAAUUUGUAAAUUGUGUAUUGCUGGUGAGUAUAUGAAUUGAUUUUGACGUUGAAAAAUAUUUUUUUUUUAGUUUAUUACAUGCAUAGUUUUAUUUAUUGUCAAUUAAUUUUAUUUAAUUACCCAUCCUUUAUAUUCUUGUGCAAAGUAUAGGCAGUCACACUAAAUUCAACCAAUAGCUUACAUUUUCAUCACAUGGAAAUUUAAUUUCCUAUCUCACUUAUUCUAUGAUAAAUGUCUUGCUUUAAAUAGUCAAAAAUUAAUUAUAAUAAGAAGUUGAUAUAAUUACGUAAGAUCUCACAGAAUAUCUAUUUAUUUAUCUAUAUAUAUAAUGCACUAUCAAAUAUUAGUGUUGAAUACUUAGGGCUAGUCUUGAUAUUUUAUAGGCCAUCCACAAAGAAAAAGUGGGAGACUUCCUUUAUUAUAAAAAAAUAUGUGAAACUUAUAUGUCAAAGCUUAAACGAAAAUAAGAUAUUAAAGCAAAUCAUGUUCAAAAAAUAAGUACAUAAAAUGAGAACAUAUAAUAUAUUUCAACAAUGAAAAUUCACCUAUGAAAAUUGUCAUAAAAUGAGAACAUAUAAUAUAUUUUCUUUUUCUAAUAAGAUGUGGCUUCAACAUCAAGGUCUAAGGAGGGUGGUUGAGUCUCACUGGUCUAACACUGUAGUGGGAUGUCCUAUGUAUGUUCUUUCUAAUAAGCUCAAGGGUCUUAAGACUAUUUUGAAAACCUGGAAUAAAGAGGUCUUUGGCAACAUUCAUUUAAGGGUUAAGAAUACUUUAACUUCUGUUGAGUUUAUCCAGAAGAAGCUCUCAGGUGAGGGCCAAUCUGAUCUCCUUUUGGCUCAAGAGGAGCAGGCUCAAAAGGACUUGUUGGUGGCCUUGAAUUCUAAAGAGGAGUUUUGGAAAGAGAAGUCUAGAUUGAAUUGGAAGAUCAGUGGGGAUAGGAACACUAGCUACUUUCAUAAAAUUGCCAAAAUCAGGUUUGCUACUAAGUCUAUGUCAAUGCUUAGAUAGGAGGAUACCACUCUGCUUGAUCAACAUGAAAUUGAGGAGCAUGUGUUAGAUUACUUCACCAAAUUGUAUGCCUCUAACAAUGAUAUUCUCCCCAGUAGUCUCAUUAACCAGGUUAUUCCUCAGCUGGUUUAUGAUGAUGACAACAUUAUGCUAUCCUCAAUCCCUCUGAAUGAUGAGAUCAGAUCUGCUGUAUUUGCCAUGAAUGGUGAGGGGGCACCUGGCCCUGAUGGGUUUGGUGGGUGUUUUUUCCAGGAAUUUUGGGAUAUCAUUGGUCAUGAUGUGUGUCAAUAUGUUAUUCAGUUUUUCACUCAGGGAUGGAUCCUUCCCAAUCUUAACUCUAACAAUAUUGUCCUAAUCCCUAAGUUCUCUGGUGCUGACAGAAUUGAGGACUUUAGGCCAAUUUCCUUAGCAAACUUCCAAUUCAAGAUCAUUACUAAAGUCUUGGUUGAUAGGUUGGCUCUUAUUGCUCCAAAAAUUAUCUCCAACCAGUAGAGGAGCUUCAUCAAAGAUAGACAUAUCCAGGACUGCAUUUGUAUUGCCUCUGAAGCAAUUAAUCUCCUUGACCACAAGACCUUUGGUGGUAAUCUUGCUUUAAAGUUGGAUAUCAAGAAGGCUUUUGAUACUAUUGAUUGGAGGUUUCUAUUGGACACUUCAAGGCCUUUGGUUUUUCGAAUUCCUUCACCAAUUGGGUAGGGGUCAUCCUGAAGUCUACUAAGUUAUCCAUCUAUGUUAAUGGUCAUCUGGUGGGCUUUUUUAGUUGCAAGAGAGGGGUUAGGCAAGGUGAUCCUUUGUCCCCCCUUCUGUUUUGUUUGGCUGAGGAUGUGAUCAGCAGAGGCUUAACUAAGCUGCUGGAAAGUGGGAAAAUUAGCUCAAUCUCUGGCCCAAGGAUUGUCACCCCUAGUCAUGUUCUUUAUGCUGAUGACAUCCUGAUUUUAUGUAAAGGGAUCAAAAGGGAGUUAUCUGCAAUCAAGGAUUUGUUCAUUGACUAUGCUAAUGUUUCUGGUCAAUGUCUAAACCUUAGCAAGUGCAAGUUCUAUUCCAUUCAAGCCAAUGCUAGGAAAAUUACCAAUCUCACCAACUGGUUGGGUUUUGGAGCUGGCCAAUUGCCCUUCAACUAUCUUGGUGUCCCCUUAUUCAAGGGUAAGCCAAAAGCUAUUCAUUUGCAACCAAUUGCUGAUAGGAUUGUUAACAAGUUGCCCAAUUGGAAGGGAUCUUGCCUCUCAAUUAUGGGUAGAGUUGAGCUUGUUAAAUCCAUCAUUCAUAGCAUGUUAGUUUAUAGCUUUCAUGUUUAUAAUUGGCCUGUCAAUUUACUCAAAAAGAUGGAUAAUUGCAUAAGGAAUUUCAUCUGGUCUGGGGACACUCAUGUUAAAAAGCUUGUUACUGUUGCCUGACAUAAGGUUUGUUGCCCUGUCACAGAGGGUGGUCUUGGCAUAAGAUCUAUUUCAGCCAUGAAUCAAGCUGCAAUUCUCAAACUUGCUUGGGACAUGAGAUCCUCCUCUAAGGAAUGGGCAACCUUUUAUAGGAAGAGAUACUCUAAAAGGACCACUUACACAAAGUCCUCUGUUUGGCCUGGUAUCAAAAAACAUUGGCAAUUGAUCAAGGACAAUUCAAUCUGGUUAUUGGGAAAUGGAAAUAGCAUCAACUAUUGGUUGGACAAUUGCUGGGUUCCCCUCUAGCUGAUCUCCUUGCAAUUCCUGAUCCAUUCUCCUUUGUUCUCCAAGCCAGAGUUGCUGAUUUCAUGCAGGAUUCAUCUUGGAUCAUUCCUGCUUGGUUGGCUAGGCUUCACCCUGCAGUGUGUCAGCAAAUUGUGAACACUACUAUUCCUAAUGCCUCUACGGAUGACAAACUGGCUUGGUUACAUUCCACAGAUGGAUCUCUUAGUAUGAAAGAGGCUUAUCUUUUCACCAAACUUGCCCAACCUCAGCACAAUUGGUGCAAGCAGGUUUGGUCAAUAUCAAUUCCUCCCUCAAAAUCCUUCCUUACUUGGAGGCUUUACAAUAACAGAUUGCCUACUGAUGAGAAUUUGCAAGCUAGAGGCAUGACUAUGGGAUCCAUUUGCAAUUUGUGUUGGUCUAGUGAAGAGACAUCUAAUCAUUUGUUCUUUCAGUGCAGUUUUGCAAUUGAUAUCUGGAACUAGUUGAGUAGCCAACUUGGCUUUAGAUUAGAUAAUGGUUCCAUUCAAAGCUUGAUGAACAUCUCUAAAAGGUGGAGCCCUCAAGUGAAUCUGGUCAUGAGGGCUAGCAUUAUUAACUCAAUCUCUGUCAUCUGGUAUUGCAGGAAUAAAGCCAGAUUUGAGAAUUUAUCAACCUCCAUUGCCCAGGCAACGACAAAAAUAAAAAAUGACACUUCCUUUACAGGGAAGUUCUCUAAGCUUUGUGUUAGGUCGUCCAUGCCUGAGUUCUCAAUCCUGAAGGCUUUCAAUGUGACUUGUCAUUACAACAAGGCUCCUACAAUCUUUGAAGUUAACUGGAACCUCCCUUCUCCUGGUUGGGUAAUAAUUAACUCCGAUGGGGCUGCUAAGGGCUUUCCUGGGCACGCUGGGGGAGGUGCUAUUUUUAGAGACAACAGUGGUAGUUUCUUGGGUUGCUUUGCCUCUUACUUCAGUAUUCAAGACUCUCUUUAUGCUGAAGUCCUUGCUGCAAUCUUGGCUAUCCAAAUUGCCUUCUCUAACGGUUGGUUUCUCGUGUGGCUUGAGUGUGACUCAACUUGGGUGGUGGAGAUCUUCAGGGGUAACAUGGCUGUUCCUUGGAAGCUAAGUAACCUAAUGCUAAAGUGUAGGAGAACUAUGUUGUCUAUGCAAAUCAAAAUAUCUCAUAUAUAUCAGGAAGGUAAUGUUUAUGCUGAUAAGUUAGCCAAUUAUAAUGUCAUUUCUAGGUGUGAUUCUUGGUGGACUGCUCCACCUAAUUUUAUUUUGCCUGAUUUUCAUAGAAACAAGUUGCUCCUUCCUAACUAUAGGUUUGAGGAUUUAUAAUGGCUCUUUGUAAUCCGGUUUUCUAAUAUAUUUCUGGGUGUGUUUCACCCUUGCAUAAAAAAAACAAAAUAUAUUUUCUUUUUCUUACUUAUUUGUUAUUGUUACUGUUGUCAGACAUGAGCCUACUAUAUAUUUUUAAUUAUUAGGCACAUUCUCAAUGGAUCUCAUAUUUUUUACACUAAGGGCAGACCUAAUUUUAAUUCUACCUCUCAAAUAUGAUAGCAUAAUAAUAUAAGGAUUACUACAAUUAAUUAAAUAUAAUAUAUGUAAUUUAAUAAUUAAUAAAAGGAAGAAUUCUUCACAUGUUCUGCAGUAUUGAUAUUUUUGUGUAAAAUAAAAAACAUGAAAGUACAAAAUAUAUGUGAAGGUAAAAAAAUUGUCCCAUGUUAAUAUUUUUACUCAUUCUGAAUGAUAUUAGUAUUGAUAUUUUUACUCACUUUGAACUAUAUUAGUUUCUUAUCUAUAAGAUGAUGUAAUACCUUAUUUAAAAAAAAAAGAUACAUUCUAUAAUAGAAACAAAAGAUGAAUUUAUAUUAAUUAAUACUUUAUAUUUUCAACAAAUUAAAAUUUAUUUUUUAUCUUUAAAAUUUGUCAUCUAACUCAUCUAAAAAUAAAUAUGGUGCUGUUAAUAGUCAAAUAUUUAUUCUAAAAUAAUAGCCAUCAAAUAAAUAAAUAUAUAUAUAUAUAUAUAUAUAUAAUAUUGCUUGGUUUUGAAGCUGUAGUACUCUUCCAAUAAUGUUAAACUUUUUAUUUGAAUUUUUGACUUAAUGUUAAAUAUUAUUAUGAGUAAAUAAAAAACAAUAAAUAAUUAUCAAGGACCAUAAAAAAUAAUAAAAAUUACUUACAUUUAAUGCCUUGAAACAUGUAUGGAAAUCUAAUUUUUUACACAAACAAUUUGUAAUUUUUUUUUUAAGGCUGGGUGAAAUACAUAACUAUGAAUGAGUACAUAAAUUGAUUAUGACUUUCAAAAAUAUUUUGUAUAGAUUUCUAAAUUUUUCAUUUUGUUUGUUUAUGGUCAAUUGAUAUUAUCUGUUUACAUACAUGUCCUUUAGAUUCUACUACAAAAUAUUUGGCCAAUAAACNNNNNNNNNNNNNNNNNNNNNNNNNNNNNNNNNNNNNNNNNNNNNNNNNNNNNNNNNNNNNNNNNNNNNNNNNNNNNNNNNNNNNNNNNNNNNNNNNNNNUAAUUCUAUACCUUUGGUACUCUAUUAAUAAAAUUUGUUUUUAGUCUUAUCUUUUUAGAUUUGAAUAAUAUGUUUUCUUUAUUGGUUUAUCUUCUAACAUAACUAAACAUGAAAAUGAGUAAUGAAUUUGAAUGUGAAGCUUCUGGACCAUUACUGAAGAGUUUGAUGUGAAUAGUAAAAUGUGUAUAACUAUGCUUGAUAUUGUUUGUUACUAAGAAGGCAUGAGAAUGAAAGUUGAGUGAUUAUGAAAAAUAUACACUAUCUAUAUGAACUUGUAUUAUAUUAGCACUGUUGAAUUUGUUUGAAUCAUAUUUUACUAAGUGAUUGUGAUACAUGGANNNNNNNNNNNNNNNNNNNNNNNNNNNNNNNNNNNNNNNNNNNNNNNNNNNNNNNNNNNNNNNNNNNNNNNNNNNNNNNNNNNNNNNNNNNNNNNNNNNNGGAUAACAGAGUUAAGUGUUACAUUGAGUUAAAUUCUAAGUUGGGGAGAGGAAAAUGUAUCUAUGAAAAAAGUGGGAAAUAAGUAUUGUAGUACACCAUUCAUCCCAUGAAAAACAAGAAAAGAAAUACUCCACAAAAAGGGGAGGGAAAAAAAAUCAAAGGAUGAAUGGUGGCAAAAUGAAAUGAAAAGAAGAAAAGAGAAAUACAAAUAAAUGAUUUGUACUACAAGUAGAUCUUUCGCUUAUGCUUUUAUCGCUUCGGCUUAUGAUUCCAUCAUUCCAAGAUUCAACAAUGAAUUAUCAUAAUCCAAUUCCAUUUUUCUUCAUCAGCCAUUAGCAUGAGACGAGCAUAGAUAUCAAUGGUGACAAGAAAGGAACAUCUGAAUCUUUAGCAUGAGAGGAGCAUAUUAAGAAUGCAGCUAUGAUUGCUAAAGAAAUAAGAGUUUCUGACAUAAUCAGUGGCGGAAUACACCUAGAAGGGGGGUUGAAUAGGUGUGGCGGAACUCAAUUUCAAUUUUCUGGUUUUUACACACUUGCUGAAAAAAAUGCCUAGUUAAUCGAUUAACAACUAGACGUAAUCGAUUAACGAGUAAUAGAAACAGAAUGAUCAAAACAACAACUAGCACGAUUAUUAACAAACACACAAACAAAUAUGCAGCAGAUAUUUUUGUGCAAGAUUAACAAGGACAUAGCAAGGAAAAAGUAUGCAAAAUAUUAGCUCCAAACACGCAUUAAAACAUCUUCAAAUAUAAAAGAGAAAAGGAUAGAAAAGAUUGCGCAGGGAUUUUAUCCUGGUUCGUUUUGUGUUCCACUGCAAAACUACAUCCAGUCCUCCCCUCUGAUUUUGGAGAUUUUCCUUCUUCACUAUGAAACACAAUGUACGUUACAUACACACUUCCAAAUACAAAACUUGAAUGCUCCCUUCUUGGAAUCCAAAGAACUACGUUACCCUUGGUUUCACCUUUCCCAAAACUGCCUCCCAAGAAAACCUUUCUUAUGCGAUUCGGUCCCAGCCAAGGUAUCGCUCUUUAUCCCAAGACCUCCAAGUCUUUGUGUGAAGAACACCAUACCUAACCGCAACUAGGAUUUUCCCAAUCCUUUAAUAACAAUGCUUUGAGUUAUGAAAGAGUACUUAAUACUCGGAUAUUACAAUGAAAACCAAAGCCUAAAAACCUCAGCAAGAACUCAGAAGACUUCCAAGUCUAAUGUGAAUGCACAUGCAUGAGGUUUCUGAAAAUAUGCAAUCUUUAAAGAACUAUCUUUCUCUUUUCAAGAAACAAAAGAAUAAUGCAAGAAAGCUUUUGAAAGAAACAUGCAAGAUGAAUGUGAAAGCUAAAGCCUUAGCAUGAUCUAAUCUUUCUCCUAAUUCAACACUUUCUAAUAGAUUCUAAUAAUGAAGAUCUAUAUCUAUUCUCUUGUGUUUUUCACUCUUCUUUUUCCUCUUCUUCUUAGUUUGCCGUUUAUGCAAUUAAGCCAGUAUUUAUAGAAAACAGAUUUUGGCUCUUGAAAACGGUUUUUCAGUUAUGCUGUUGAAACAGCAUAAAAACAUACACGUUAAUCGAUUAAGCCAUGAGGUUAAUCGAUUAACCAAUGUAUUUUUAAUACAUGAUUAAAUGGUAAACUACUUAUAUGUUAUAUGCUCAUGCAAUACAUGAUUUCCAAAAUAUAAUACCUUUAAUGCAUAAAAUCAAUGUAUAUAAAUGCAUGAACCUAAUUAUCAUAUAUUUCUUGAUGAUGUCUCAUUUUAGUUGAUUAAUUACUUUAUUAAGUCUAGUGAGACUCACGCUUAGGUUUACCUAACCUAGACUCAAUAUCUAUGGCAAGCAUCUUAGACUUCUAAAAAGAUAAUAAAGAAUAAUAGCAUAAGUCUAAUAAGACACCACUUGAGCCUUCGACAUGUUGAUUGUUGAGCCAUCUUCAAGCUUUAACGAAUUCCUUGUCUUCAUCGAAUUCCUUGUCUUCAUCAAAACAUAGGCAAACGUUGCUAAUGCAAUCCUUGACGCUUUGCACUCUUAGAAAUACUCCACAAAAAGGGGAGUGAAAAAAAAUCAAAGGAUGAAUGGUGGAAAAAUGAAAUGAAAAGAAGAAAAGAGAAAUACAAAUAAAUGAUUUAUACUACUAGUAGAUCUUUCGCUUAUGCUUUUUCAUAUGAUACAUAUGUGACAGCAAACCAGAGAUUACAUACAAUGUGGGACUAAUUAGUAGAUUCAUGAGUGAUCCAAGGUACUCACACUUACUAGCAACUAAGAGGAUCAUGAGAUACCUCAAGGGAACAUGUGGAUAUGGAAUCUUGUUCUCAACUCAUCAAGGAAAUAGUGACAACAAUCUCAAACUUGUAGCAUACUCAGAUUCAGAUUGAUAUGGAGUCUUAGUUGAUAGAAAAAGUACAAUGAGACAUAUAUUCCUACUAUCAGGCACACCUAUAACUUGGAGCUCAAAGAAGCAGUCAGUUGUGGCCCUAUCAACUUGUGAAGUAGAAUAUAUUGCAACAUCCUCAACUGCUUGCCAAGCAUUUUGGCUAUCAUCUUUGCUUUGUGAAAUGAAUAUACUUAAUGUAGAGAACAUGGAAUUGCUGGUUGAUAGUAAAUCAACAAUAGACUUGGCCAAAAAUCUAGAAUCCUAUGCUAGGAGUAAACAUAUUGAUACUAAGUAUCAUUUCCUUAGAGACCAAGUAAGCAAGGUUGAGAUUGAUAAAAAGUUUCAUUAACUUAGAUUCAACUAAAGCAUUGCAACACUGAUUUUUAGGUGGCUGACAUUUUAACUAAGCCGCUAAAGGUUGACAGAUUCAAGAGAUUGAGAGACUUGUUGAAUGUGACUUGUUUGUAAUGGGUUUUGAAUCAAGGAAGGGUGUUAGAAAUGAUUCAAAACUUGGAGAGAUAGUUAGUCAGUUUUAGAGUUUUCUGUUUUUAGAACUCUAGUUGUAAUACUUGCUAUAAAUAGAUAUUUUACUCCUUAGUUGAAUCAUUGAGAAAUAUACAACACACAUUAUUUAGUAUAUACAAUUCUACUCUCUGAUAUACUCUUCUAUACACUAUCUGUAUUUUCUUUCUCUUUUUCUUCUUGUCUCUACACACGAUUUCACUCUGCAAAUUUUCUUUCUCUAGUUUCUUUCAACAUUCUUCAUUCUUCCAACAUGUUCAUGUACUGGUUCAGUAGGGUAUCAGAAGGAAAAGCUUGUCAUUGGUGCAAGGUUUGAAGAUAGAGUUCACCUAUACCAUGAUUCUUAAGGACCUCAAGAAUGAGUUUUGUUGUUCCAUCUCACACCAACAAGAAACCUCUUGAUCGAACAAGGUAGACAGACAACCUCAUAAACCAAACAAGAAGCGUAGUCUAUAAGCCCUAUUAGGCUAGAGACCAAAAAGACCGAGCAACAAAAAGAAGUGUUCUAUCAAUGAAAAGACAACAUGGGGCCCACCCUACUACCCCUAUGUUGUGCCACAUGCAUAAAACUGUCACCUCUGAUUGAAUAGCCUAGACCUUUGUUACAUGUUGCAUGCUACCUAUGCCCUACUGUUCCUAUCAACAACAAUUCACUAUGCCAUAGCUGAUAAAUGUAAGGCAUAAGAGAAAUAACAGUGCUUAUUGAAGCAAGUGACGUUAAAGAUGUUAUCUUUAACAACGCUUAUUUAAGAAAACGCUGUUAAAGGUCAUACUUCAUAUAUUUAACAANNNNNNNNNNNNNNNNNNNNNNNNNNNNNNNNNNNNNNNNNNNNNNNNNNNNNNNNNNNNNNNNNNNNNNNNNNNNNNNNNNNNNNNNNNNNNNNNNNNNGGAGGAGAAAGAAUGAAUAAAAUUUGCGUAAGAUCUCAUUACUCAUAUGUUAUUUUAUAAUAUUGGAAUCUGACAAGGUUGAAUGUAGCUGAAGUCGUUGGUGAUUUAAUAAAUCUGUUGUAAACGUGGUGGAGUUGGACAUGCUUGUCAUGUAUUGGAUAGAAUGUUUGGAAGAUAUAUUGUCUUAUUUAGAAAGUAGACAUUUAACAACGCUUGCUUCAGUGAGCGCUACUAAAUGUCUACUUUCUACAACGCUUCAAAAAAUAAUGUUAAAUAUAACUUUAUGUACUAUUGCGCUCACAUAGAAAGCGUCUAAAAAAUGUUGUUAAAUGACAAUUUUAAGUGUUGUAGUUUUUCUAUUCUGGCGUAGUGAUUGUAUCUCUCAAAAUCAGACAAGAUAGACUAAUAACAUAGUGAUACAUGCCAAUACGAGCAAAAGACAACCGUCCACCAAGUAUAUAUCUUCCAAAGCUACCUGACAUGGGAAAAUCAAUCUUCGUUUGUCCAGGAUAGACCCAACAUACCUUUUUAUCGAUCAAACCAACCUCAUCUACAAUGGAACUCAAAUUGUAGCCGAAACCUUCCCUAAGCAGGUUGCGGGUUGUGGCGUGCGGGCCGGAUAAUACUAGAAAAUAUUUAUUUAAAUUUUAACAUAUUUAAUCUAUUUAAUAUAUAUAUAUAUAUAUCAUUUGAUAUUAAUGUAUAACUUUUCUAACACACUUGUUAUGCCCAAUGCAAUCAAACUUAAUCUAAUGUCUUGUGUUUGAGUUAAGACGUGAUGUCAAGUCCACAUAUAUGAUUUUUAACAUAACNNNNNNNNNNNNNNNNNNNNNNNNNNNNNNNNNNNNNNNNNNNNNNNNNNNNNNNNNNNNNNNNNNNNNNNNNNNNNNNNNNNNNNNNNNNNNNNNNNNNAGAGAUGCCAUUUUUUAUUUGUAUUUGCUGCUUGCAAUAAUCAUUGAGGGACACAUGAACACUCAGUAAGGACUUGCACAUUGGAGGAGAAAGAAUGAACAAUUUGCGUAAGAUCUCAUUACUCAUAUGUUAUUUUAUAAUAUUGGAAUCUGACAAGGUUGAAUGUAGCUGAAGUCGUUGGUGAUAUAAUAAAUCUGUUGUAAAUGUGGUGGAGUUGGACAUGCUUGUCAUGUAUUGGAUAGAAUGUUUGGAAGAUAUACUGUCUUAUUUAGAAAGUAGACAUUUAACAAUGCUUGCUUCAGUGAGCGCUGCUAAAUGUCUACUUUCUACAACGCUUCAAAAAAUAAUGUUAAAUAUAACCUUAUGUAUUAUUGUGCUCACAUAGAAAGUGUCUCAAAAACGUUGUUAAAUGAAAAUUUUAAGUGUUGUAGUUUUUCUAUUGUAGCGUAGUGAUUGUAUCUCUCAAAAUCAGAGAAGAUAGACUAAUGACAUAGAUCUUCCAAAGCUACCUGACAUGGGAAAAGCAAUCUUCGUUUGUCCAGGAUAGACCCAACAUCUCAUUGGAUCGAUCAAACCAACCUCAUCUACAAUGGAACUCACUUGAUAUACACAUACUUAUUAACUCUUUCACUUUAUCUCUUACUUAUUAUUCUUUGAUAUUCUAUAUAUCUCUUACUUAUUGGCUUGAUCGUAGGAGAACCUUUCCACGUGCUUACCCCAAUGGGUUCAAGCACUUCUCAGGUUAUACUAGAUGAUUCUGAUCAAGUUACCACAAUCCGAAUCCAUCCUUUAAAGACCAAAAAACAUAUGCGGUAUGUGGAGGUGUCAAAAUAGACUACCCGAACGGGUUCAACCUAGCUCACAUUAGGUUCAGGCUAAAAAGCUCGGAUACAAUUUAUCCAUAUCAAAUUGUAGCCGAAACCUUCCCUAAGCGGGUUGGGGUUUGUCGUUUGUGGGCCUGGAUAAUACUAAAAAAUAUUUAUUUAAAUUUUAACAUAUUUAAUCUAUCUAAUAUAUAUAUAUAUAUAUAUAUAUAUCAUUUGAUAUUAAUGUAUAACUUUUCUAACACACUUGUUAUGCCCAAUGCAAUCAAACUUAAUCUAAUGUCUUGUGUUUGAGUUAAGACGUGAUGUCAAGUCCACAUAUAUGAUUUUUAACAUAACACAUACUAAAUCUCUCAUUUCUAUUGGACUAUGACUCCCUAACACAAUAUAAUUUGUAACUUCACUUUAAUAUAUAUACAUUUGGAUACUAUCAAAAUAUUAUCGCUUCGGUUUAUAGUAAUGGUAAUAUAGACACAAGUUUAGAAUGAACUUUAUUUGUCAAAAUAUAAUAACCAUCGCUUUAUUUGAUCGUUAUUCUUUAAUUUCUAUAGGAUGAUCAUUGUAUGUUAUUUAUUAAUACUUUUAUUGUGAACUAUUAUGUUAAAUUUGCUUGUGUGGAGUUCUCAAUGGUAAACAAUUAUGUUGUCUUUUAGUUUAGUUGUAAAAAAACUAUUUUCUUUAUUAUAUUUUUGUUGUAGAAGUUAAAUCUAAUUAAAUACAUAAUUAAGAAAUGAAAAGUGAAAUCUACAUGGUUUAAUGUCUUAUUAAUUUAUUUGAUAUACUAUUUUGUAUUACCUUUCAUUUUUAGUCACAUUUCAUAUGGAAAUCCUUUAGGGCAAUCUGUUUUUAAACUAUUACUCACAUUCUUAAUAAAUUAAUACUUUGAAAUGCAAUAAUUCAUAACAAUUAAUAAAGGUAAUAGUGCACAAGUUCUUUAGUAGUGAGAUAUUUUGUAUAAAAAAGAAUAAUUAUCUGUUUAGGUAAAACAAUUGGUCGCCGUUAUUUAUGCGUCAUGUAUGAUACAUUUGCCACACAUGCAUAGGUCUAGACAUAUUAAUACUUAUAAACAACUCUUGUUUGAAGGAAUAAUCACUUAUUGCAAAAGAUAUUAUUACAUUUUUGAAAGUCAAAAUCAAUUCAUAUACUCAUCAGCAAUACACAAUUUACAAAUUCCUUGUUCACAAUUUACAACUCUUGUUAGUGUUACUCUCGUAAGACAUGAGCCUAUAUAUUUUUUUAAUUAUUAGGCACAUUCUCAAUGGAUCUCAUAUUUUAAGGGCAGACCUAAUUUUAAUUCUACCUCUCAAAUAUGAUAGCAUAAUAUAAGGAUUACUACAAUUAAUUAAAUAUAAUAUAUGCAAUUUAAUAAUUAAUAAAAGGAAGAAUUCACAUGUUCUGCAGUAUUGAUAUUUUUUUGUAAAAUAAAAACAUGAAAGUACAAUAAAUUUGUGAAGGUAAAAAAAUUCUCCAAUGUUAAUAUUUUUACUCAUUCUUAACGAUAUUAGUAUUGAUAUUUUGACCCACUUUGAACUAUAUUAGUUUCUUAUGUACAACAUGAUGUAAUAUCUUAUUUAACAUAAAAGAUACAUUCUAUAAUAGAAACAAAAGAUGAAUUUAUAUUAAUUAAUACUUUAUAUUUUCAACAAAUUAAAAUUUGUUUUUUAUCUUUAAAAUUUGUCAUCUAACUCAUCUAAAAAUAAAUAUGGUGCUGUUAAUAGUCAAAUAUUUAUUCUAAAAUAAUAGCCAUCAAAUAAAUAAAUAUAUAUAUAUAUAUAUAUAUAUAAUAUUGCUUGGUUUUGAAGCUGUAGUACUCUUCCAAUAAUGUUAAACUUUUUAUUUGAAUUUUUGACUUAAUGUUAAAUAUUAUUAUGAGUAAAUAAAAAACAAUAAAUAAUUAUCAUGGACCAUAAAAAAUAAUAAAAAUUACUUACAUUUAAUGCGGUGAAUCAUAUAUGGAAGUCUAAUUUUUUACACAAACAAUUUGUAAAUUGAAACUAUGAAUGAGUACAUAAAUUGAUUUUGACUUUCAAAAAUAUUUUGUAUAGAUUUCUAAAUUUUUAAUUUUAUUAGUUUAUGGUCAAUUAAUAUUAUCUGUUUACCUACAUGUCCUUUAGAUUCUACUACAAAAUAUUUGGCCAAUAAACAAUUAUAUCAAAAAUUGAUUCAAGUGACUAGUAGAAGAAUUGUGCCCAUUAUAAAUAUAUUUGUGUAUUUAUUUAUUAUUUAUUUUAAAUCGCUUUAAUGAAUGCCAUUUGGAGUCAAGACACUCAUCAUGAAAUUAAAUAACUGAUAAUUUAUAUGGGAACGUGCGGGAUUAAAUAUAAUAUUUAUAUUAAAUGCACGUCUUAGUAACAAAUUUUUACUUUUGAAUAUUUACUUAGUUCUAUAAAGAUAUUUUGCACAUUUGUGUUAUAUUUUAUUUUGGUAAAUAAAACAAGUAUUGCCCAUGAAUGCAAUAUUCUUUGUAUUUGAGGUGACUACGACAAGCGAUGAUAACUCCAUACAAAAUACAUUCAAUGUUGAUAUAUUUAUAGGAAGUCUCUGAUUUGGAUUAAUGGUAGAAGUAGCUAGUCUGUAAUGAUUGUUAGGUAUCAGUGGCGGAAUACAUCUAGAAUGGGAGUUGAAUAGGUGUGACAUAACUAAAUUUCCACUUUUCUGGUUUUUACGCACUUGCUGAAAAAUGCCCAGUUAAUCGAUUAACAACUGGUCUUAAUCGAUUAACUAAUAACUGAAACAGAAUGAUCAAAACAACAACUUGCACGGUUAUUAACAAACACACAAACAGAUAUAGAACAGAUACUUUUGUGCAAGAUUAGCAAGAACAUAGCAAGGAACACGUAUGCAAAAUAUUAGUUGCAGAUUCGCAUUAAAACAUAUUGAAACAUAAAAGAGAAAAGGAUAGAAAAGAUUGCGCAUGGAUUUUAUCCUGGUUCGUUUUGCUAUCCACUGCAAAACUACAUCCAGUCCUCCCCUCUAAUUUGGNNNNNNNNNNNNNNNNNNNNNNNNNNNNNNNNNNNNNNNNNNNNNNNNNNNNNNNNNNNNNNNNNNNNNNNNNNNNNNNNNNNNNNNNNNNNNNNNNNNNCCAAGGUAUCGCUCUUUAUCCCAAGACCUCCAAGUCUUUGUGUGAAGAACACCUUACCUAACCGCAGCUAGGAUUUUCCCAAUCCUCUAACAAUGCUUUGAGUUAUGAAAGAGUACUUAUACUCAGAUAUUACAAUAAGAAUCAAAGCCAACAACCUAAGCAAGAACUCACAAGACGUCCUAGUCUAAUAUGAAUGUCCAUGCAUGAGGGUUAUGAAAAUACGCAAUCUUGAAAGAACUAUCUUUUCCUUUUCAAGAAACACAAGAAUAAUGCAAGAAAGCUUUUGAAAGAAUCAUGCAAUAUGAAUAUGAAAACUAAAGCUUUAGCAUGAUCUAAUCUUUCUCUUAAUUCAACAUUUUCUAAUAGAUUCUAAUAAUGAAGAUCUAUAUCUAUUCUCUUGUGUUUUUCACUCUUCUUUUUCUUAGUUUGUCGUUUAUGCAAUUAGCCAGUAUUUAUACAAAACAGNNNNNNNNNNNNNNNNNNNNNNNNNNNNNNNNNNNNNNNNNNNNNNNNNNNNNNNNNNNNNNNNNNNNNNNNNNNNNNNNNNNNNNNNNNNNNNNNNNNNUGAUUAAUUAAUUUAUUAAGUCUUGUGAGACUCACACCUAGGUUUACCUAACCUAGACUCAAUAUCUAUGGCAAGCAUCUUAGACUUCUAAAAAGAUAAUAUAGAAUAAUAGCAUAGGUCUAAUAAGAUACCACUUGAGCCUUCGACAUGUUGAUUGCUGAGCCAUCUUCAUGCUUUAACGAAUUCCUUGUCUUCAUCGAAUUCCUUGUCUUCGUCAAAACAUAGGCAAACAUGGCUAAUGCAAUCCUUGACGCUUUGCACUCUCAAUGAUAUAUUCUAACAUGGUUUCAAAUCCUCGUGAUUGUCUUAUAAAGUUGUUUUAAACCACUUAAUUUUCUUCAACAACCAUGUUUUUUUUUGAAUUUUAGUCUUCUAAAUUCUUGUAAUUAUAUACUUUGGUACUCUAUUAUUAAAUAUUGUUUUUAGCAAUGAAUUAUAUUCAUCCAAUUCCAUUUUUCUUCAUCAGCCUUUAGCAUGAGAGGAGCAUAGAUAUCAAUGGUGACAAGAAAGGAACAUCUAAAUCUUUAGCAUGAGAGGAGCAUAUUAAGAAUGCAGCUAUGAGUGCUAAAGCAAUAAGAGUUUCUGAUAUAAUCAGUGGCGGAAUACACCUAGAAGGGGGGUUGAAUAGGUGUGGCGGAACUCAAUUUCCACUUUUCUGGUUUUUACACACUUGCUGAAAAAUGCCCAAUUAAUCGAUUAACAACUAAUCUUAAUCGAUUAACCAGUAACAGAAACAGAAUGAUCAAAACAACAACUUGCACGGUUAUUAACAAACACACAAACAAAUAUACAGCAGAUACUUUUGUGCAAGAUUAACAAGGACAUAGCAAGGAAAAAGUAUGCAAAAUAUUAGCUCCAAACACGCAUUAAAACAUCUUCAAAUAUAAAAGAGAAAUACAAAUAAAUGACUUGUACUACAAUUAGAUCUUUCCCUUAUGCUUUUAUCGCUUCGGCUUAUGAUUCCAUCAUUCCAAGAUUCAACAAUGAAUUAUCAUCAUUCAAUUCCAUUUUUUCAUCAUCAACCUUUAGCAUGAGAGGAGCAUAGAUAUCAAUGGUGACAAAAAAGGAACAUCUGAAUCUUUAGCAUGAGAGGAGCAUAGUAAGAAUGCAGCUAUGAGUGCUAUAGCGAUAAGAGUUUUGGACAUAAAAUCUGCCAUUGGAGAGAGGAAGAAUCAAUGGAGAAUUAGAGAGAGUUAGUGAAAUUGUGAUUGUUGUCACAGAGAUAGACAAUUACAAUAAAGCUUGAAGAAUUGCACUGCCAACUUCUUGUUAUUGAAAACCUCAUACAAUAAUACACAUAUCACUUAGUUUAUGAUUUCUCUUACUUUUCUUCUUCUCCAUGAGUUACAUUUUUUCCUAUUUUGUUUUUAGUUUCUCUCUUCAAGCAAGUUAUCGGUUUUUGGUUUUUCUCUUCCAGCCUAAGGUAAAUCGCUAUCUUUUUUACCUCAUUUAUUUCUUUUUGAUUUAGUCUUGAUGCUUGCAUAUACACCAUAAAUAAAAAGUCUUCGAUGCAUUUGAAUCGUUAUAUGUUUAAAUAAUUAGUUUAUUUGUGAUCAAUUUGGUAGAAACAUUUCCCUCUUAGGGUGAUAUUUAUUUGUUGUAAAGUUAUGCAACUAUGGUGUUCUAGGUUUUUUGUUGUAGUUCACUAGUUUAGAACACAUAGUUUGAGUAUAAUGGUAAAUGUUCUUUCUCAAUUGCUGCUAAUUCUUUAUUUUUUAUAGCUUUUACAAUUUGUUUAGAGAUGCCAUUUUUUAUUUGUAUUUGCUGCUUGCAAUAAUCAUUGAGGUACACAUGAACACUCAGUAAGGACUUGCACAUUGGAGGAGAAAGAAUGAACAAUUUGCGUAAGAUCUCAUUACUCAUAUGUUAUUUUAUAAUAUUGGAAUCUGACAAGGUUGAAUGUAGCUGAAGUCGUUGGUGAUAUAAUAAAUCUGUUGUAAAUGUGGUGGAGUUGGACAUGCUUGUCAUGUAUUGGAUAGAAUGUUUGGAAGAUAUAUUGUCUUAUUUAGAAAGUAGACAUUUAACAAUGCUUGCUUCAGUGAGCGCUGCUAAAUGUCUACUUUCUACAACGCUUCAAAAAAUAAUGUUAAAUAUAACCUUAUGUACUAUUGCGCUCACAUAGAAAGCGUCUAAGAAACGUUAUUAAAUGACAAUUUUAAGUGUUGUAGUUUUUCUAUUCUGGCGUAGUGAUUGUAUCUCUCAAAAUCAGAGAAGAUAGACUAAUGACAUAGAUCUUCCAAAGCUACCUGACAUGGGAAAAGCAAUCUUCGUUUGUCCAGGAUAGACCCAACAUCUCAUUGGAUAGAUCAAACCAACCUCAUCUACAAUGGAACUCAAAUUGUAGCCGAAACCUUCCCUAAGCAGGUUGCGGGUUGUGGCGUGCGGGCCGGAUAAUACUAGAAAAUAUUUAUUUAAUAUUAAUGUAUAACUUUUCUAACACACUUGUUAUCCCCAAUGCAAUCAAACUUAAUCUAAUGUCUUGUGUUUGAGUUAAGACGUGAUGUCAAGUCUACAUAUAUGAUUUUUAACAUAACACAUACUAAAUCUCUCAUUUCUAUUGGACUAUGACUCCCUAACACAAUAUAAUUUGUAACUUCACUUUAAUAUAUAUACAUUUGGAUACUAUCAAAAUAUUAUCGCUUCGGUUUAUAGUAAUGGUAAUAUAGACACAAGUUUAGAAUGAACUAUUUAAUAUAUAUAUAUAUAUAUAUAUAUAUCAUUUGAUAUUAAUGUAUAACUUUUCUAACACACUUGUUAUGCCCAAUGCAAUCAAACUUAAUCUAAUGUCUUGUGUUUGAGUUAAGACGUGAUGUCAAGUCCACAUAUAUGAUUUUUAACAUUACACAUACUAAAUCUCUCAUUUCUAUUGGACUCUGACUCCCUAACACAAUAUAAUUUGUAACUUCACUUUAAUAUAUAUACAUUUGGAUACUGUCAAAAUAUUAUCGCUUCGGUAUAUAGUAAUGGUAAUAUAGACACAAGUUUAGAAUGAACUUUAUAUGUCAAAGUAUAAUAACCAUCGUAAUAUAUGAUCGUUAUUCUUUAAUUUCUAUAUGAUGAUCUUUUGUAUGCUAUUUAUCAAUACUUUUGUUGUGAACUAUUAUGUUAAAUUUGCUUGUGUGGAGUUCUCAAUGGUAAAAAAUUAUGUUGUAUUUUAGUUUAGUUGUAAAAAAACUAUUUUCUUUAUUAUAUUUUUGUUGUAGAAGUUAAAUAUAAUUAAAUACACAAUUAAGAAAUGAAAAGUGGAAUCUACAUGGUUUAAUGUCUUCUCAAUUGAUUUGAUAUACUAUUUUGUUAUUGUGGUUACAAAAGAUAUUAUGGAAUAUAGGAAAAAUAAUAUAAUACUUAACUUUAAAAACAUUAUUGUAAUUUAUAAAUAUUUAUAUUAUAGACAUCACUCUAUUUUCUAUUCAAAGUUCAUAACACAAUAUUUAUCAUAACACAUGUCAUUUCAAUCAACUUUUGUUAUAUCAACUCCCCUUUUGAUAUAUAUGAUGAUAUCUUUGUUUCAAAUAUACCAACCUAUUAAUGCAUAUAUUCUUAUAUACUUUAAUCGAUACAUAUAUGUUUUUUAAAUUUACUUUAGACAUUAUUGAUCUUAAGCAUGCGUAAGAGGGAACUGCACCAUGCGAAUGUACGGGUAACUUACUAGUUUAUUAUAUAUUUUUUAUUAUAAGUUAUUUUAUAAUAUAAAUUUAUGAGUUUUUGGUGGGCUGGCUGGACUAGCCAUGCCCAUUUUGACACCUCUAACUGUAUUGAUACUAUUAUUCAAGACCCAAAGUUGGGCCAAGUCAUACAACUUUUGGGAGAUCAAAAAUAGUUUAGUUUCGUAUUUGACAUAUAGCUGCACAAUAUCCUGAUAGCAGUACCUUCUUGGCUUGCACAACAAUAAUAUGUUGGAAGCUAGUUUGGAGGCAAUUUUAAUUUUUGUCAACCUAUUUUGGUUUCUCUUUAAUAAUUAAAAAAGUAAUAAUUUCAAUAUAUUUACUUAGAUCUUAGUAUUAAGUUGCACAUAUUAAUUUUAAUUUCAAUUGAUUUUACAUGUCAAAUAUUAACCAUGUAUAUUAUGUUUGGUAUGGUCAAUGGAAAUUAUUAUUUGUAGUCAAAAACGUUUUGUAAUUACAUUUGAGAUUAACAUUUUUCACAAAGAUAUAAUGUGUUACUUACUCGUAUCUAUGGUAAUAACUUUUUAAGAAAUAAAUUUGAAUCUUAGAUAAGGAAUGUGUUUUUACUCUUUUCGAAUAGUAAAUAUUUCUCAAAUUCAACAUAAAUCUACCUGAUUCAAAAGGGAAGAACUUGCCUCUGUCUCAAUUUGAAUUAGACUGCGUACCAUCACAUAUCAUCUAAACUAUGAUAAUAUGUAAUCUUAUGUAUAUAAGAUCAUGAUUAUGGAAAAUGUUUAAAUCUUAAGUUUUAUUUAACAUGACUUUAUAAGCUUUGAUAUUACAUGAUAAUAAGAUAUAAUCAAUCCUUAUCAACAUUUUAUUAUUCCAACACACACUUUUGAUACUCAUUCUUGUGAUGCUUGGAUCCGAAGUUUAUCAAAUGGCGGUGGUGGACAACAAUAUGUGUAAAUACAUUUGCAACCAGGACCAUAAAGUUUUUGACACUGUAUGUCUGCGCUACAUGGAAUAUGCUCAAUGCGACCCGCAUACGANNNNNNNNNNNNNNNNNNNNNNNNNNNNNNNNNNNNNNNNNNNNNNNNNNNNNNNNNNNNNNNNNNNNNNNNNNNNNNNNNNNNNNNNNNNNNNNNNNNNUUUAAUUAUGUAAAAUAAUUUGCAAUAAUAUUUCAACUAAAAAAGUCUAAUGAAAAUCAUUUGAAAAUGUAAUACAUUUUUUUCUUGCUCAUUUAAUAUUGUUAUUUGUUGCAAACUUGAGUAUAAUAUUUUAUGUUUAUUUUUUAGUUACAUUCUUAAUAAAUCUAAUAUUUUGUAUGACCUUUCAUUUUUAGUCACAUUUCAUAUGGAAAUUAUUUAGCCCAAUAUGUUUUUAAACUAUUACUCACAUGUUAAAAAGGUAAUAGUUCAUAAUAAUUAAAAAAGGUAAUAGUACACAUGUUCUUUAGUAGUGAGAUUUUUUGUGUAAAAUGAAUAAUUAUCUGUUUAGGUAAAUUAAUUGGUCCCCGUUAUUUAUGCGUCAUGUAUGACACAUUUGCCACACAUGCAUAGGUGUAGACAUAUGAAUACUUAUAAACAACUCUUGUUUGAAGGGAUAAUUACUUAUUCCAAAAGAUAUUAUUACAUUUUUUUUGGGUAGAUUAAACUUUCAUUAACAUAGAACUUCUUCUACGAAUUUUGGACAUAAUACAAAAAUAUUAUUAUAAGUAAACAAAAAAGAAAAAAUAAUGUGAAAGACCAUAAUAAAAAUACUUACAUUUAAUGUUAUAGUAUCAUAUAUGGUAGUUCAACUUUUUCAGACAUGGAAUUUGUAAAUCGUGUAUUGCUGGUGAGUAUAUGAAUUGAUUUUGACGUUCAAAAAUAUUUUUUUGAGUUUUGUACAUGCAUAGUUUUAUUUAUUGUCAAUUAAUUUUAUUUAAUUACCCAUCCUUUAUAUUCUUGUGCAAAGUAUAGGCAGUCACACUAAAUUCAACCAAUAGCUUACAUUUUCAUCACAUGGAAAUUUAAUUUCCUAUCUCAAUUAUUCUAAGAUAAAUGUCUUGCUUUAAAUAUUCAAAAAUUAAUCAUAAUAAGAAGUUGAUAUAAUUAUGUAAGAUCUCACACAAUAUCUAUUAUCUAUCGAUAUAUAUAUAUAUAAUGCACUAUCAAAUAGUGUUUAAUACUUAGGGCUAGUCUUGAUAUUUUAUAGGCCAUCCACAAAGAAAAAGUGGGAGACUUCCUUUAUUAUAAAAAAAAUAUGUGAAAUUUAUAUGUCAAUACUUAAACUAAAAUAAGAUAUUAAAGCAAAUCAUGUUCAAAAAAUAAGUUCAUAAAAUGACAACAUAUAAUAUAUUUAAACAAUGAAAAUUCACCUAUGAAAAUUGUCAUAAAAUGAGAAUAUAUAAUAUAUUUUCUUUUUAUUAUUUAUUUGUUAUUGUUACUGUUGUAAGACAUGAGCCUACUAUAUAUUUUUAAUUAUUAGGCACAUUCUCAAUGGAUCUCAUAUUUUUUACACUAAGGGCAGACCUAAUUUUAAUUCUACCUCUCAAAUAUGAUAGCAUAAUAUAAGGAUUACUACAAUUAAUUAAAUAUAAUAUAUGUAAUUUAAUAAUUAAUAAAAGGAAGAAUUCACAUGUUCUGGAGUAUUGAUAUUUUUGUGUAAAAUAAAAAACAUGAAAGUACAAAAUAUAUGUGAAGGUAAAAAAAUUGUCCCAUGUUAAUAUUUGUACUCAUUCUGAACGAUAUUAGUAUUGAUAUUUUUACUCACUUUAAACUAUAUUAGUUUCUUAUCUAUAAGAUGAUGUAAUACCUUAUUUAAAAAAAAGAUAUAUUCUAUAAUAGAAACAAAAGAUGAAUUUAUAUUAAUUAAUACUUUAUAUUUUCAACAAAUUAAAAUUUGUCAUCUAACUCAUUAUAUAUAUAUAUAUAUAUAUAUAUAUAAUAUUGCUUGAUUUUGUAGCUGUAGUACUCUUCCAAUAAUGUUAAACUUUUUAUUUGAAUUUUUGACUUAAUGUUAAAUAUUAUUAUGAGUAAAUAAAAAACAAUAAAUAAUUAUCAAGGACCAUAAAAAAUAAGAAAAAUUACUUACAUUUAAUGCCUUGAAACAUAUAUGGAAAUCUAAUUUUUUACACAAACAAUUUGUAAUUUUUUUAAGGCUGGGUGAAAUACAUAACUAUGAAUGAGUACAUAAAUUGAUUUUGACUUUCAAUAAUACUUUGUAUAGAUUUCUAAAUUUUUCAUUUUGUUUAUUUAUGGUCAAUUGAUAUUAUCUGUUUACAUACAUGUCCUUUAGUAUCUACUACAAAAUAUUUGGCCAAUAAACAAUUAUAUCAUAAAUUGAUUCAUGUGACUAGUAGAGGAAUUGUGCCCUUAUAAAUAUAUUUGUGUAUUUAUUUUAAGUCCCUUUAAUGAAUGCCAUUAGGAGUCCAGACAUUCAUCAUGAAAUUAAAUAACUGAAAAUUUAUAUGGGAACGUGCGGGAUUGAAUAUAAUAUUUAUAUUAAAUGCAUGUCUUAUUUAAUAUUUUCUAGUGACAAAUUUUUAGUUUUGAAUAUUUACUUAGUUCUAUAAAGAUAUUUUGCACAUUUGUGUUAUAUUUUAUUUUGCUAAAUAAAACAAGUAUUGUCCAUGAAUACAAUAUUCUUUGUAUUUGAGGUGACUACGACAAGCGAUAAUAAUUUCAUACAAAAUAUAUUUAAUGUUGAUACAUUUAUAGGAAGUUUCUGAUUUGGAUUAAUGGUAGAAGUAGCAAGUCUGCAAUGAUAUAUUCUAACAUGGUUUCAAAUCCAUGUGAUUGCCUUAUAAAGUUGUUUUAAACCACUUAAUUUUUUUUCACAACCAUGUUUUUUUAAUAUUAGUCUUGUAAAUUCUUGUAAUUCUAUACCUUUGGUACUCUCAUUUGAAUAAUAUGUUUGCUUUAUUGGUCUAUCUUCUAACAUAACUAAACAUGAAAAUGAGUAAUGAAUUUGAAUGUGAAGCUUCUGGACCAUUACUGAAGAGUUUGCUGUGAAUAGUAAAAUGUGUAUAACUAUGCUUGAUAUUGUUUGUUACUAAGAAGGCGUGAGAAUGAAAGUUGAGUGAUUAUGAAAAAUAUAUACUAUCUAUAUGAACUUGUAUUAUAUUAGCACUGUUGAAUUUGUUUGAAUCAUAUUUUACUAAGUGAUUGUGAUACAUGGAUAGGAUCAAACCAAUUGUUUGUUUAAACCCACUUGGCCAAACACUAACCAGAUUUUAUGAUUAUCCCUUGAUAAGCCCCUUUAAGCCAUUAAUGUUCAUUGAUUGAAACCUUAUGCUAGAUUAAAAAUCUAUCUAGUCUACUUCUAGUGGGAUAAGAGAGUUAAGUGUUACAUUGAGUUAAAUUCUAAGUUGGGGAGAGGAAAAUGUAUCUAUGAAAAAAGUGGGAAAUAAGUAUUGUAGUACACCAUUCAUCCCAUGAAAAACAAGAAAAGAAAUACUCCACACAAAGGAGAGGGAAAAAAAAUCAAAGGAUGAAUGGUGGCUAAAUGAAAUGAAAAGAAGAAAAGAGAAAUACAAAUAAAUGAUUUGUACUACAAGUAGAUCUUUCGCUUAUGCUUUUAUCGCUUCGGCUUAUGAUUCCAUCAUUCCAAGAUUCAACAAUAAAUUAUCAUAAUCCAAUUCCAUUUUUCUUCAUCAGCCUUUAGCAUGAGACGAGCGUAGAUAUCAAUGGUGACAAGAAAGGAACAUCUGAAUCUUUAGCAUGAGAGGAGCAUAUUAAGAAUGCAACUAUGACUGCUAAAGCAAUAAGAGUUUCUGACAUAAUCAGUGGCGGAAUACACCUAGAAGGGGGGGUUGAAUAGGUGUGGCGGAACUCAAUUCCCACUUUUCUGGUUUUUACACACUUUCUGAAAAAAUGCCCAGUUAAUCGAUUAAAAACUAGACGUAAUCGAUUAACCAGUAACAGAAACAGAAUGAUCAAAACAACAACUUGCACGGUUAUUAACAAACACACAAACAAAUAUACAACAGAUACUUUUGUGCAAGAUUAACAAGGACAUAGCAAGGAAAAAGUAUGCAAAAUAUUAGCUCCAAACACGCAUUAAAACAUCUUCAAAUAUNNNNNNNNNNNNNNNNNNNNNNNNNNNNNNNNNNNNNNNNNNNNNNNNNNNNNNNNNNNNNNNNNNNNNNNNNNNNNNNNNNNNNNNNNNNNNNNNNNNNGAUUUUAUCCUGGUUCGUUUUGUGGUCCACUGCAAAACUACAUCCAGUCCUCCCCUCUGAUUUGGGAGAUUUUCCUUCUUCACUAUGAAACACAAUGUACGUUACAUACACGCUUCCAAAUACAAAACUGGAAUGCUCCCUUCUUGGAACCGAAAGAACUACGUUACCCUUGGUUUGACCUUUUCCAAAACCGCCUCCCAAGAAAACCUUUCUUAUGCGAUUCGGCCCCAGCCAAGGUAUCGCUCAUUAUCCCAAGACCUCCAAGUCUUUGUGUGAAGAACACCUUACCUAACCAAAGCUAGGAUUUUCCCAAUCCUUUAAUAACAAUGCUUUGAGGUAUGAAAGAGUACUUAAUACUCGAAUAUUACAAUGAAAACCAAAGCCUAAAAACCUAAGCAAGAACUCAGAAGACUUCCAAGUCUAAUGUGAAUGCACAUGCAUGAGGUUUCUGAAAAUAUGCAAUCUUUAAAGAACUAUCUUUCUCUUUUCAAGAAACAAAAGAAUAAUGCAAGAAAGCUUUUGAAAGAAACAUGCAAGAUGAAUGUGAAAGCUAAAGCCUUAGCAUGAUCUAAUCUUUCUCCUAAUUCAACACUUUCUAAUAGAUUCUAAUAAUGAAGAUCUAUAUCUAUUCUCUUGUGUUUUUCACUCUUCUUUUUCCUCUUCUUCUUAGUUUGCCGUUUAUGCAAUUAAGCCAGUAUUUAUAGAAAACAGAUUUUGGNNNNNNNNNNNNNNNNNNNNNNNNNNNNNNNNNNNNNNNNNNNNNNNNNNNNNNNNNNNNNNNNNNNNNNNNNNNNNNNNNNNNNNNNNNNNNNNNNNNNUUAGAAAUACUCCACAAAAAGGGGAGUGAAAAAAAAUCAAAGGAUGAAUGGUGGAAAAAUGAAAUGAAAAGAAGAAAAGAGAAAUACAAAUAAAUGAUUUAUACUACAAGUGGAUCUUUCGCUUAUGCUUUUAUCGCUUCGGCUUAUGAUUCCAUCAUUCCAAGAUUCAACAAUGAAUUAUCAUCAUUCAAUUCCAUUUUUCUUCAUCAGCAUUUAGCAUGAGAGGAGCAUAGAUAUCAAUGGUGACAAUAAAGGAACAUCUGAAUCUUUAGCAUGAGAGGAGCAUAUUAAGAAUGCAUCUAUGAGUGCUAAAGCAAUAAGAGUUUUUGACAUAAAAUCUUCCAUUGGAGAGAGGAAGAAUGAAUGGAGAAUUAGAGAGAGUUAGUGAAUUUGUGGUUGUUGUCACAGAGAUAGAUACACCUAUAACUUGGAGCUCAAAGAAGCAGUCAGUUGUGGCCCUAUCAACUUGUGAAGUAGAAUAUAUUGCAACAUCCUCAACUACUUGCCAAGAAUUUUGGCUAUCAUCUUUGCUUUGUGAAAUGAAUAUACUUAAUGUAGAGAACAUGGAAUUGCUGGUUGAUAGUAAAUCAACAAUAGACUUGGCCAAAAAUCUAGAAUCCUAUGCUAGGAGUAAACAUAUUGAUACUAAGUAUCAUUUCCUUAGAGACCAAGUAAGAAAAGGUUGAGAUUGAUAAAAAAUUUCAUUAACUUAGAUUCAACUAAAGCAUUGCAACACUGAUUUUUAGGUGGCUGACAUUUUAACUAAGCCGCUAAAGGUUGACAGAUUCAAGAGAUUGAGAGACUUGUUGAAUGUGACUUGUUUGUAAUGGGUUUUGAAUCAAGGAAGGGUGUUAGAAAUGAUUCAAAACUUGGAGAGUUAGUUAGUCAGUUUUAGAGUUUUCUGUUUUUAGAACUCUAGUUGUAAUACUCGCUAUAAAUAGAAAUUUUACUCCUUAGUUGAAUCAUUGAGAAAUAUACAACAAACAUUAUUUAGUAUAUACAAUUUACUCUCUGAUAUACUCUUCUAUACACUAUAUGCAUUUUCUUUCUUUCUUUCUUCUUGUCUCUACACACGAUUUCACUCUGCAAAUUUUCUUUCUCUAGUUUCUUUCAACAUUCUUCAUUCUUCCAACAUGUUCAUGUACUGGUUCAGUAGGGUAUCAGAAGGAAAAGCUUGUCAUUGGUGCAAGGUUUGAAGAUAGAGUUCACCUAUACCAUGAUUCUUAAGGACGUCAAGAAUGAGUACAAAAAAAAGAAACCUCUUGAUCGAACAAGGUAGACAGACAACCUCAUAAACCAAACAAGAAGGGUAGUCUAUAAGCCCUAUCAGGCUAGAGACCAAAAAGACCGAGCAACAAAAAGAAGUGUUCUAUCAAUGACAAGACAACAUGGGGCCCACCCUACUACCCCUAUGUUGUGCCACAUGCAUAAAACUGUCACCUCUGAUUGAAUAACCUAGACCUUUGUUAUAUGUUGCAUGCUACCUAUGCCCUACUGUUCCUAUCAACAACAAUUCACUAUGCCAUAGCUGAUAAAUGUAAGGCAUAAGAGAAAUAACAGUGCUUAUUGAAGCAAGUGACGUUAAAGAUGUUAUCUUUAACAACGCUUAUUUAAGAAAACGCUGUUAAAGGUCAUACUUCAUAUAUUUAACAACACUUCUUCAGUGAGGCAGUUAAAAGUGUUAUCUUUAACAGUGCUUACUGAAGCAAACGCUGUUAAAGAUCACACAUUCAUAUAUUUAACAUCACUUCUUCAGUGAGCGCUGUAUUGUUGAACGUGUUAUCUUUAACAAUGCUUAUUGAAGAAAGUGAUGUUAAAGGUCAUACUUCAUAUAUUUAACAACACUUCUUCAGUGAGGCAGUUAAAAGUGUUAUCUUUAACAGUGCUUACUGAAGCAAACGCUGUUAAAGAUCACACAUUCAUAUAUUUAACAUCACUUCUUCAGUGAGCGCUGUAUUGUUGAAUGUGUUAUCUUUAACAAUGCUUAUUGAAGAAAGUGAUGUUAAAGGUCAUACUUCAUAUAUUUAACAANNNNNNNNNNNNNNNNNNNNNNNNNNNNNNNNNNNNNNNNNNNNNNNNNNNNNNNNNNNNNNNNNNNNNNNNNNNNNNNNNNNNNNNNNNNNNNNNNNNNUAAAGUUAUGCAACUAUGGUGUUCUAGGUUUUUUGCUGUAGUUCACUAGUUUAGAAAACAUAGUUUGAGUAUAAUGGUAAAUGUUCUUUCUCAAUUGCUGCUAAUUUUUUAUUUUUUAGAGCUUUUGAAAUUUUUUUAGAGAUGCCAUUUUUUAUUUGUAUUUGCUGCUUGCAAUAAUCAUUGAGGAACACAUGAACACUCAGUAAGGACUUGCACAUUGGAGGAGAAAGAAUGAACAAAAUUUGCGUAAGAUCUCAAUACUCAUAUGUUAUUUUAUAAUAUUGGAAUCUGACAAGGUUGAAUGUAGCUGAAGUCGUUGGUGAUAUAAUAAAUCUGUUGUAAAUGUGGUGGAGUUGGACAUGCUUGUCAUGUAUUGGAUAGAAUGUUUGGAAGAUAUAUUGUCUUAUUUAGAAAGUAGACAUUUAACAACGCUUGCUUCAGUGAGCGCUGCUAAAUGUCUACUUUCUACAACGCUUCAAAAAAUAAUGUUAAAUAUAACCUUAUGUACUAUUGCGCUAACAUAGAAAGCGUCUAAAAAACGUUGUUAAAUGACAAUUUUAAGUGUUGUAGUUUUUCUAUUCCAGCGUAGUGAUUAUAUCUCUCAAAAUCAGACAAGAUAGACUAAUGACAUAGUGAUACAUGCCAAUACGAGCAAAAGACAACCGUCCACGAAGUAUAUAUCUUCCAAAGCUACCUGACAUGGGAAAAGCAAUUUUUGUUUGUCCAGGAUAGACCCAACAUACCUUUUUAUCGAUCAAACCAACCUCAUCUACAAUGGAACUCAAAUUGUAGCCGAAACCUUCCUUAAGCGGGUUGUGGCGUGCAGGCCGGAUAAUACUAGAAAAUAUUUAUUUAAAUUUUAACAUAUUUAAUCUAUUUAAUAUAUAUAUAUAUAUCAUUUGAUAUUAAUGUAUAACUUUUCUAACACACUUGUUAUGCCCAAUGCAAUCAAACUUAAUCUAAUAUCUUGAUGUCUUGUGUUUGAGUUAAGACGUGAUGUCAAGUCCACAUAUAUGAUUUUUAACAUAACACAUACUAAAUCUCUCAUUUCUAUUAGACUAUGACUCCCUAACACAAUAUAAUUUGUAACUUCACUUUAAUAUAUAUACAUUUGGAUACUAUCAAAAUAUUAUCGCUUCGGUUUAUAGUAAUGGUAAUAUAGACACAAGUUUAGAAUGAACUUUAUUUGUCAAAAUAUAAUAACCAUCGCUUUAUUUGAUCGUUAUUCUUUAAUUUCUAUAGGAUGAUCUUUGUAUGUUAUUUAUUAAUACUUUUAUUGUGAACUAUUAUGUUAAAUUUGCUUGUGUGCAGUUCUCAAUGGUAAACAAUUAUGUUGUCUUUUAGUUUAGUUGUAAAAAAACUAUUUUCUUUAUUAUAUUUUUGUUGUAGAAGUUAAAUCUAAUUAAAUACAUAAUUAAGAAAUGAAAAGUGAAAUCUACAUGGUUUAAUGUCUUAUUAAUUUAUUUGAUAUACUAUUUUGUAUUACCUUUCAUUUUUAGUCACAUUUCAUAUGGAAAUCCUUUAGGGCAAUAUGUUUUCAAACUAUUACUCACAUUCUUAAUAAAUUAAUACUUUGAAAUGCAAUAAUUCAUAAUAAUUAAUAAAGUUAAUAGUGCACAUGUUCUUUAGUAGUGAUAUAUUUUGUCUAAAAAAAAUAAUUAUCUGUUUAGGUAAAACAAUUGGUCGCCGUUAUUUAUGCGUCAUGUAUGACACAUUUGUCACACAUGCAUAGGUCUAGACAUAUUAAUACUUAUAAACAACUCUCUUUUUUUUAAGCAAGGGGCUUAGCCCAUAAUAUAUUAAUAAGCUGUAAACAUACAAGAUUAGUUUAUAAACCUAUAGGAAGGUAAUUGAAGACUAUUCCUAUACAAAUAAGGAAGCACUAAAGAAGGUGGAUGAGACCACCAAGUAUAGCAAUUUUGAUCUAUGCCCAAGUUUGCCAAGGAAUCAGCACAUUGGUUUCCCUCCCUAUAGAUGUGUGUUAUCCAACAAUCCAUUGAAGACAUGAGGAUCUUACAGGACCUCCAAGUUGACAUUAACUUCCAAGGGAUAACCAUAGUACCUAGGAAAAUUUUUGUGACCAACAAUGAGUCACAUUCUAACCAAAUUGUGUGCCAUCCCAUGCUGUGAGCCUUUUGAAUUGCUAAAAAGGCCGAGGAAAGCUCAGCAUAGAGAGCAUCAUGUAUGCCAAAAUAGGUAGAGAAAGCACCCAUGAAUAAACCAUCAUGAUCCUUGAAAAUUCCUCCCCCUCCAGCAUGACCCGGGUGACCUCUAGCAGCUCCAUCAGUAUUGAUUUUCACCCUUCCAAAGGGAGGCAACUUCCAAUUGACUUCCAAGAUUCUAGGAGAUUUCCUAUAGUUGACCUGCACUUUUAGAGACCUGAUGAUUGAGGAAUCAAGCAGAGAGGAGCUUGCUAUUGCCGAGGAAGAAUUACCAGCCAGAGUGAGGGAACUCUUGAUUCUGUUGAUAGCUUGAGGCAAAAGUAAGUUUUUGUCCUGAAACCUGCUCAAGUUUCUGCAGUGCCAAAUUGUGUUAACAGCAAGCACCACUGCAGCAGUGAUGAGGAAUUGCACUUGAGCACUUCUUUUGGCAGCAAGGAGUAGAUUAGCAGCAGAAGAUGUGUCAAUUGUGAUUUGGAAUUGGUGAUUCAACCACUCCCAGAUUGCAGUAGCAAAGGAACAUGAGAGAAAUAGGUGCUGAGAUGAUUCAACUUGGACAUGACAAAGAUUGCAUUUAGAAGCUAAAAUGCAGCCUCUAGCUUGUAAGUUCUCAUCUGAGGGCAUUCUGUUGUUUAUAAGCCUCCAAAGGGUGAAGGAUUUUGAGGGAGGAAUGAAGCUAGACCAUAUGAGCUUGCACCACUGCCUUGAAUCAGUAGAUGGCAUGAUGCUCUUGUAGGCAUCCUUUAGAGAUAGAUUACCAUCAAUAGAAUCUUUCCAGAAGAUUCUAUCUUUAUAAUUUGAUAGCUUUGUGCUGCAAAUACUAGAAGCAACUUCUGGAUACUUGUCAAACAACUCCUGAGGAAUGGUCCAGGCANNNNNNNNNNNNNNNNNNNNNNNNNNNNNNNNNNNNNNNNNNNNNNNNNNNNNNNNNNNNNNNNNNNNNNNNNNNNNNNNNNNNNNNNNNNNNNNNNNNNUGUGCCUUAGCAAAUUCAUAGAUUUAGCCACUUGUCUGAUUUUGGUAAUUCUGUGAAAGAAGGCAGUGUUUCUAUCACCCUGAGUUUGCCAGUUGAUUCUAGACUUUUCUGUCCAAAACUCUUCUUCCAUUCCAAGCACCUUCAGAAGGUUUCUUUGGGCUAUGACUUCCUCAUCAAGCAACAUUUGCAUAUCCUCAUGGUUAUGCUGCAAGUCAUUGAUACAAGUUUGGAUGGUUUCAACUUCCAUCAUUGCAUCUUUCAUUCUUUGGUGUAUGUUGCCGAAGACCUCUCUAUUCCAGACUUUAAGAGCUGAUUUUAAUCUUCUCAAUUUCGAAGAUAAAACAUACAUAGGACAACCAAGCACCACUCCAUUCCAAGAUGCCUCAAUUAUGGAUCUGCAAUUGGAAUGCUGGAUCCACAUAGAUUGGAAUCUGAAAGAGAAUGCUGCAUCCACAUAGACUGGAAUCUAAAAGAGGUAACUCUAUCAAUACUGUAAGAGCUACAAUUAAGGAGGAUUGGAUUGUGAUCAGAGGAGACUCUAGGUAAAGUGCAACAAGAAACCUGGUUCCAAGCAUUGAGCCAACCCUCAUUACAAAUUGCUCUAUCCAACCUCUUUUCAGUAAGGGCAUCCCCCCUUCUUUUGUUAGACCAAGUGAAGUCAGAGCCUCUGGUGCUAAGAUGGAUUAAAUUCUCUCUAUCAGAAAACUCCUUGAAGUCAAUAAUAGGGAUUCUAGCUGGAAUUGUAGAACCUAUAUGCUCAUGAGAACCCAUGAUGGCAUUAAAAUCACCAACAAAACACCAGGGGCCAGUAAAAGAGGAUAGCAGGAUGUGCAAGUCAUCCCAAAGCUUCCUUCUAACCAAGUAGUUGGUGUUAGCAUAUAUAGCAGCAAAAUUGAAAUUGAUGUUGUUAAGAGUCAUAGAGACUGAGAUGAGUUGGUCAGUGCAACCAAAGACUAUAGGAUCAACAUUUUUAUUGCAUAGACCCCAUAAGCUAGGAAGCAGGUCUUGUCUUUUAUUAACUAUAAAUAACUUGAGAUUCAUUUGAGACCAAUAGGAAGGAUGAAUCUCAUUGAAAUCCACCUUUGGCUCAGCAAUAAAUAGAAGGUCUGGUUUGUUUGCCAGGACCAAAUUUUUUAGCACCAAUCUAGUAUUGAGGUUGCCAAUUCCCCUGCAGUUCCAGAAUAUGGUAUUCAUUUAGAUGUGUGUAGGUAUCCACCCCUUCGGGUAUAAUGAACCUUGCCCUGACCACUCCUUCUCUUUUGUUUCCUUUUUUGAGACUUGGAUACCACCUCAGUGAAGACNNNNNNNNNNNNNNNNNNNNNNNNNNNNNNNNNNNNNNNNNNNNNNNNNNNNNNNNNNNNNNNNNNNNNNNNNNNNNNNNNNNNNNNNNNNNNNNNNNNNAGGAAUCCUGGUCUUAGAUUCCAGGAACCAGUGGCACACACUGAUCUCAUAUCUUCCAAGGAGGAGAAUGAGAACUCGUAAAAACCUUUUCCUAGGGAGACCAUAUACCAUUGCCCUAUAGAGUUCCAGAGAGUUGUGAGCUUGGCUUUCAGAUCCACAUACUUUAAUGGAUUGUCACCCUUUGAAAGAAUAAUCCUACCGUGCAGGUGGUUUUUACACCUUUGGAGACCUGCUUGAUAGUCCUCCUCUGGUAUUUUGAUUGCUAUAGCAUCUCCCUUAAGGCAGGGUUGAGGGAGUUGAGAGACUGAGAUGUUACAAGAGUUUUUGACAGCUUGAGCAAAGGUCUUCCUCGUGGGGGACAGUGGGGCUUGUGGCUUAGCUGUGCAUUGAGAAUCAGCAAGAAAAGACCAUGGGACAAAAUUUCCAACUGGCAUUUUGUAGAAGAAGCAGAUCCAGGGACCAAGAAAGCUGGAGAGAGCUCCCAGAAACUAGGAGAUGAGUUCCAAGAAUGUUGGAGCUUUGGUUUUCAUGAGCAGAGCCCUAGCCGCUCUAAUGCCAAUAUAAACAACUCUUGUUUGAAGGGAUAAUCACUUAUUGCAAAAGAUAUUAUUACAUUUUUUUUUGGGUAGAUUAAACUUUCAUUAAUAUAAAACUUCUUCUAUGAAUUUUGGACAUAAUACGAAAAUAUUAUUACUAGUAAACAAAAAAGAAUAAAUAAUAUCAAAGACCAUAAUAAAAAUACUUACAUUUAAUGUUGUAGUAUCAUAUAUGGUAGUUCAACUUUUUCAGACAAGGAAUUUGUAUAUUGUGUAUUGCUGAUAAGUAUAUUAAUUGAUUUUGACUUUCAAAAAUAUUUUUUUAGUUUUGUACAUGCAUAGUUUUAUUUAUUUAUUGUCAAUUAAUUUUAUUUAAUUACCCAUCCUUUAUAUUCUUGUGCAAAGUAUAGGCAGUCACACUAAAUUCAACCAAUAGCUUACAUUUUCAUCACAUGGAAAUUUAAUUUCCUAUCUUACUUAUUCUAAGAUAAAUGUCUUGCUUUAAAUAGUCAAAAAUUAAUUAUAAUAAGAAGUGGAUAUAAUUAUGUAAGAUCUCACAGAAUAUCUAUUUAUCUAUCCAUAUAUAAUGCACUAUCAAAUGUUAGUGUUUAAUAUUCAGGGCUAGUCUUGAUAUUUUAUAGGCCAUCAACAAAGAAAAAGUGGGAGAUUUCAUUUAUUAUAAAAAAAUAUGUGAAAUUUAUAUGUCAAAAGCUUAAUCGAAAAUAAGAUAUUAAAGCAAAUCAUGUUAAAAAAAUAAGUACAUAAAAUGAGAACAUAUAAUAUAUUUCAAUAAUCAAAAUUCACCUAUGAAAAUUGUCCUAAAAUGAGAACAUAUAAUAUAUUUUCUUUUUCUUANNNNNNNNNNNNNNNNNNNNNNNNNNNNNNNNNNNNNNNNNNNNNNNNNNNNNNNNNNNNNNNNNNNNNNNNNNNNNNNNNNNNNNNNNNNNNNNNNNNNUCCAAUGUUAAUAUUUUUACUCAUUCUUAACGAUAUUAGUAUUGAUAUUUUGACCCACUUUGAAUUAUAUUAGUUUCUUAUCUACAAGAUGAUGUAAUAUCUUAUUUAGCAAAAAAGAUACAUUCUAUAAUAGAAACAAAAGGUGAAUUUAUAUUAAUUAAUACUUUAUAGUUUCAAUAAAUUAAAAUUUGUUUUUUAUCUUUAAAAUUUGUCAUUCAACUCAUCUAAAAAUAAAUAUGGUGCUAUUAAUAGUCAAAUAUUUAUUCUAAAAUAAUAGCCAUCAAAUAUAAAUAUAUAUAUAUAUAUAAUAUUGCUUGGUUUUGAAGCUGUAGUACUCUUCCAAUAAUGUUAAACUUUUUAUUUGAAUUUUUGACUUAAUGUUAAAUAUUAUUAUGAGUAAAUAAAAAACAAUAAAUAAUUAUCAAGGACCAUAAAAAAUAAUAAAAAUUACUUACAUUUAAUGCGGUGAAUCAUACAUGGAAGUCUAAUUUUUUACACAAACAAUUUGUAAAUUGGAACUAUUAAUGAGUACAUAAAUUGAUUUUGACUUUCAAAAAUAUUCUGUAUAGAUUUCUAAAUUUUUAAUUUUAUUAGUUUAUGGUCAAUUAAUAUUAUCUGUUUACCUACAUGUCCUUUAGAUUCUACUACAAAAUAUUUGGCCAAUAAACAAUUAUAUCAAAAAUUGAUUCAAGUGACUAGUAGAAGAAUUGUGCCCAUUAUAAAUAUAUUUGUGUAUUUAUUUAUUAUUUAUUUUAAAUCCCUUUAAUGAAUGCCAUUAGGAGUCAAGACAUUCAUCAUGAAAUUAAAUAACUGGAUUUUUAUAUGGGAACGUGCGGGAUUAAAUAUAAUAUUUAUAUUAAAUGCACGUCUUAGUAACAAAUUUUUACUUUUGAAUAUUUACUUAGUUCUAUAAAGAUAUUUUGCACAUUUGUGUUAUAUUUUAUUUUGGUAAAUAAAACAAGUAUUGUCCAUGAAUGCAAUAUUCUUUGUAUUUGAGGUGACUACGACAAGCGAUAAUAACUCCAUACAAAAUACAUUCAAUGUUGAUAUAUUUAUAGGAAGUCUUUGAUUUGGAUUAAUGGUAGAAGUAGCUAGUCUGUAAUGAUUGUUAGGUAUCAGUGGCGGAAUACAUCUAGAAUGGGAGUUGAAUAGGUGUGACAUAACUAAAUUUCCACUUUUCUGGUUUUUACGCACUUGCUGAAAAAUGCCCAGUUAAUCGAUUAACAACUGGUCUUAAUCGAUUACCCAGUAACAGAAACAGAAUGAUCAAAACAACAACUUGCACGGUUAUUAACAAACACACAAACAGAUAUACANNNNNNNNNNNNNNNNNNNNNNNNNNNNNNNNNNNNNNNNNNNNNNNNNNNNNNNNNNNNNNNNNNNNNNNNNNNNNNNNNNNNNNNNNNNNNNNNNNNNACCACCUAAGCAAGAACUCACAAGACGUCCUAGUCUAAUAUGAAUGUUCAUGCAUGAGGUUUAUGAAAAUACGCAAUCUUUAAAGAACUAUCUUUUCCUUUUCAAGAAACACAAGAAUAAUGCAAGAAAGCUUUUGAAAGAAUCAUGCAAUAUGAAUAUGAAAACUAACGCUUUAGCCUGAUCUAAUCUUUAUCCUCAAAAUUCAUCUAUAGUGAAUCAAACUCAAGUUUGUUAGAAUAAGUUUAGAACAAAUAUUUGGAGCAAUAUUUUUAUUAUAGAAACACAUAAUUUAUAUAUAUAUAUAUAUAAAUUUUAAAAUAUAUAUUAAAAAGGUAACCUAUACCUAUGGUGGCAUCCUCAAGUGAGCCUGAGAAGUCACGUUUCAUGUUGAACCUAUUAGAGCCAUAACGAUCCCUUGGUGGUGCCUUAAAAAGGAAGGGUCCUAGCUUUGGAAAUUUACCAUUUUCAUGCCUUUCUUCUUCUUCUUCUUCUUCAUCAUCAUGAACCUUUUCUUCAUCAUCUUUGAUGUACAAAGACUUGAAAUUCUCCAAGAGAAAAUGAUCAAUAUCCGUUAGUGUGGUUUCAACAUCUUUAUCAUUAUUUUUCUUAUCAUCCAUGGAGAAAGAAGAAGCCUUAGGACUAAUGUCAUCAUUGACAAAAGAAGAGGUCCUUCUAUGCUUUCUAACCGAGAGAAACCUUUGCUUAGAGGGUAUGUGGACUUUUGAUCUAGGAAUUUAUAUCUUGGAGAGGUAGUUUUGAAGGGACUUUCGAAUCUUCUUAGGCAUAUUUUGAUGUUUUGCCCUACUUGUUAUUCUAAUGGUAGUUUGAGAUAAAACUUAUAUAUAAAUAUAAGGUGUGGAGUGUGGUGUAUAAAUAAACAUAAAUAAGGAAAAUAAGCACCUAAUUUAUGCCUUCAAAGUGCAUUUAGGGUAAGGAUAUAAUUUGGUAUAAAGAAUGCACUACUUUGGUUAAGAAUCACGUCGCUUACAAAAUCCCAAUUUUAAAUUAAGAAUUUGAUUCAAAGGAUACGAUAUUCUAGACUUUUACUAACACCAUGAUUUUUACUAGUUGUGACAUAUUUGGAGAGUAAAUAUGAAAUUUUGUUUUCCCUAUUGGUGAGAUUUGAGAGUAAAUAUGUCUCAAAUAUCUCACUUUAUGUCAUUACUAAUGAGAUAGAGGAAUUUUUAUUUCGAUAAAUGGCAAGAAAAUUUAUAUGCAUUUAAUUGUGUUUACUUAGGAACUGAUGCGUAAAAAUUAAACACCCGCAAAAAGGAGAAUAAACUUACAAGUUAACUAAAAAAACUUACAAGGUAACUUUAAUGGAUUAUUUAAAAGUUUAUAUAUUAUUAGAGGAAAGCACGCUUCUUUACAAUCUCAACAUUUAUUGUGGAAUUUAUAUAUAUCAAUAGGAAAAAAACUUAAAAUUAAUGGAAUAUUUUACGUUAUUUAAAUAUCAUCUAUCAAAAUUUGAUCUGAGCAACAAGUUGGAUUUGAUGUGUCAACUGUUGUUGCACUAACAAAUGUUUAUUUAUAGUUGAUGUAAUAUUGUUUUACGUUAUAUAUUAACUAUAUUUUGUAGUGGUAUUUUAUGUGAUUUUGUGGUAGACUUUUACUAUCACAUAACAGGUACAAGUUUGAAGUGAUUUUGGAACAAUACAACUCAUACAUCUUGAAUUUAUUCGAUAUAUUAAUUUUGUAAUAAAAUGAAAUUCACCUUUUCAAAAAUUUUAUUUGUAAAUUUAGAAAGAAAUCAGUUUAACUAGUCAUUUUUUUUAUUUUCCAUUAUAUAUAUGCGUGCUUCUAUAAUUUUUUACUUCUUUAUGCAAUAUAUAUUUAUUGUGAAAAUUUGUGGAGAUACUCUAAUUGAAAGCCCAUAUUCCAUAGUGAUAAAGGUGUUAAACCAACCCCACUCUCCUCUGCAUACACAAUAUACCAAGCAGCCAUCAAAAUAGAAACAAUAUGCACACUAAGUCCAAUAGCAGAAAAACAGAGGAAAAAUGAAAUGAAGAUAUGUUUGAGAGAAAUGUGUAUUAUCAAGAAUAAUGAAGAAGAAUGAAUCAAGUUGUAUUGAAAAUGUAUUGAGUAUCAAUUACAACAAUCAUUACAUCUUUGAAAUACUAAAUGCUAUUUAUAGCUUCCAAAUUCUAACUAACUCUAACUAACUUUCUAUGCUAGGAAAAUAUACAAACUAACAGACUGAAAUAACUCAAACUUCUACUAGUGGAAGUUUCCUUAUUUUCCGUUAUUCCCAAACUACUACUAAACUUCUAAUGGUGGAAGUCUCUUCAUUUUCUAUUAUUAAUGCUAAAAUUACAUUAUUUCUAACAAUCCUCCUUAAUUCAACAUUCAUAACCCAUUUCUUACACGUGUCUUCUUUCUCAAACCUUUCAAAGGUUUUAUGAAAAUAUCAACCAAUUCCUCUUUACCUUAGUCUCAAAUUCUGGUGGUUGUGUACAAACACCUCUUUGUCUAGAGGUCCAUUCAAAAAUGCAGAUUUCAUAUCAAUUUGAUGGAUCUCCUAACACUUGAAACUAGCUAUAACAAUCACCAAUCUCACUGUCUCAAGUCUAGCCACUAGAGCAAAUACCUCAUCAUAAUCAAGAUCUUGCUUUUGUAGGAAUCCCUUUACCACUAGCCUGACUUUGUGCUUGGAAACCUCACCAUUAGGAUUCAACUUGGUCUUGAAUACCACUUAACAAAUAUAGCUUUCUUUCCUCUUGGCAAUUCAGUUAGACUCCAAAUAUUGUUUCUUUUUAUAGACCUCAGUUCUUCCUCCAUUGCCUCAACCCAAUGUGUUUGAUUCAAAGUAUCUUCCACAUCUACUAGUUCCAUCUCAGGAAGCAAUGCCAUAUGCAUAAAAUCACCAUCUACAUUGAUUGUUGAGUCAGAGAACACCUCAUAAUCACUUAGUCUUGAAGGUGGUUGUCUGAGUCUCUGAGUUGUUGGAGGAUUCACCAUUGUACUAGGCAAAACAACUGGAUUAGAUGCUAUAGUCUCACCAAUAUCACUUUCAUCAGCUUCUUCAAAUUGCAAUAGAGUCUCUUGACCUUUAUUAGAACUUUUAAGGUUCCAACUGUCCUUCACAAUUGUUGUUUGAAGGUAGUUUUGUUCACUGAUAUGUAUGCUAAUCUUGAAGGUUCUGUUGGCUGAAAGUGGAGCCUUCAAGAUUUUGUGUUCGUUUUUGUCUAACACCUUCAUUAUACCAUCCUUCAUCUCCAUGGAAUAUCCCUUUUCCAGCAGCUGUCCAAAACUGAACAUAUUGCUCUUCAUCUUAGGUACAUAUAAGACAUUUGAGAUGUAGGCUUUCUUCCCAUCUCUUCUUUGGAUCAUCACCUUGCCAAUUCCUUCUGUAGUGACUAUGUUAUGGUCAACAAUCUUAAUCUUGCUCUUUGUUGAUUUAUCAAGUGUUGUGAACCAAUCCUUCUUGCCUGUCAUAUGAUUUGAACAUCUAGUGUCAAGGUACCAGAAGUCACCAUUUUCAUCACUCCCAAUAGCCAUAAGCAAGUAUUGAUCAUCAUCAUCAUCAUCUGAUCUUUCAUUUUGUGCCAAUCUUGCUUCUUCAUCUUUGCUACCCAACAACUUUUUUGACUUUCAUUUUGCUGCAUAAUGUUCAUAUUCUCGGCAAUUAUAGCACUGAACCCUCUUCUUAUCAAACCUCGUUCUAUUUAUUGAGUCUCUUCUUUGUUCAUGCUCAAUGUUGUUUGUGUUGUUUGGUCUUUAAGAUGAUGAACCUUGCUCAAAUUUGUUCAACUUCUCCUUCUUAUUAUUCUUAUUCCACUAUCGAGAAGACUUCUUGAAAGAUUGUGCUUGGAUUACAUGAUCAUCAUUAUUCUCUAGGCCUCUCUCUUUAAGCAACUCUUCAAUAUUGUAAUCUUCAAGAUUCUUCGACUCCUAUAUUGCAACAACAAUAUGGUCAUACUUUGGAGUUAGAGUCCUAAGUAUCUUCUCAAUAACAGAUUGCCCUUUCACAUCUUCUCUACACGAUUUCAUUUGGUUGAAGAGUGUGAGAAUCUUGGUGAAGUAAUCUACUAUUGUCUGAUUCUCCUCCAUUUGAAGGAGUACAUACUUUCUCCUUAUUGUUUGAAGUUUCACUUUCUUCAUUUUUGCAACCCCUUCAUAGCUUUUCUCCAAGCUAUCAAAGCUUCCUUUGCUGUCUUGGCACCAACAAUUCUCUCAAAGUUGGCUCCAUCAACACAUUGAUGGAUUAAGAACAAAGCUUUGCAACCAUUCUUCUUGGACUCUCUGUAACUUAUCCUUUAAGCCUCAUUUGCAUUCUCCCCAACUUCUUAGUAUUCACUCUGAACAAUCUCAGACACUUCUUGAAAUCCAAAGAUUGUCUUCAUUUAGAUUCUCCGUCUAUCAUAAUUCUUGGAUUCAAGAAUUGGUAGUGUCAUUGUAAACCCAUUACCAUUUGCCAUGAUAGCUCCAAGAUCUUGCAAUCUUCUUUCCUUGUUGUCCCACUAUAUAUUCUUUUCUUUCCACUUCGAAUCACAGCCCAAGAUCCACCAAGAAUCUUGCUUCAACCUUUGCUCUGAUACCACUAUUAAACCAAGACUACUCUCCUUUCAUGCACAAUGCACCAAGUAGUCAACAAAAGAGAAACAAUAUACACACUAAGUGCAGUAGCAGAAAAAACAGAGGAAAAAUGAAAGAAAAAUAUGUUUGAGAGAAAUGUGUAUUAUCAAGAAUAAUGAAGAAGAAUGAAUUAAGUUGUAUUGAAAAUGUAUUAAGUAUCAAUUGCAACAACCAUUACAUCUUUAAAAUGUUAAGUGCUAUUUAUAGCUUCCAAAUUCCAACUAACUUUCUAUGCUAGGAAAAUAUACAAACUAGUAGACUAAAAUAACCCAAACUUCUACUGAUGAAAUUUUUCUCAUUUUCUAUUAUUCUUAAACUACUACUAAACUUCUACGUGUAGAAAUCUCCUCAUUUUCUGUUAUUAAUUCUGAAAUUAUAUUAUUUCUAACAAAAGAAUAUUACUUAUGAUCAAAUAAUAUAUAUGCCUAACAUUAUACUAAAUUUAGUAUUUGGUUGAAAAUGAAAUAAUUGUUAUUAGACAUUUCAAAUAUGUUUCAAAAAUAGGUUUAUUGAAGAAAAAAUUCUAUUCAAGUGAAAACAAAGGUUUCCAAACAUUAUUGUCUUAAAUUAGUAGCAUUUAACAAUAGACUUUUAUUUUAUUUUUGUAUAUAUCUUUAAUUUUGUACGUAAAUAGAACAAAAGACUAAUUCAAGUAGAGCACUUUUAGUAUUGACAAUUUGGAUUUAGCUUACACUCUUUUUGACCAGCAACUAAAUUUAUUGAUAAAUAAAAUAAUAAACUAGGAGAACAAGUGAUAUAUUCCUAUCCACAAAUACCAAAACUAACAAGCUGAAAGGCAAAUAGAUAGAUUCAACACUGAUUUCAAAUAAGAAAUUUUUUUAUAAGCAAAUGUAUUAGAAACAAGGGGUGCCAACCCAUUCCAAAUAAGUAUAGUUGAAAGUUUUUACAACGAGCACCCGAAAAUAUUCCAAGAGUGUAAGAAAAUAAGUUCUAACACCUCAUCAAGAUUGAACCUCAAGCUCUCCAAAACAAUAUUGUUCCUCUCAUGCCAAAUGAUAAUCUGAAGGGACAACCACAUUUGUUUUCUCUUUUUCUCCAACCAAGACAUGUUCAAAUGAAUAGAGAAGUUUACCAUAGCAUCAUUAGACAAAAUUGAGGAAAAACCAAACCAUUAGUAGAUUUUUUUUUUAAGCAAUGGUGCUAGAGCACCCAAGAUUUAUAAAGAGAAGGAACAAAGAACCAUUACAAGUUUGUAAACCUAUAGGAAGGAAGCCCCAACCAAACUCUAUUACAAUCCCAGAAAGUUAUCAAAGGGAUAGAAUUCCACCAAGUAAAAGUCCGAGACCUUAAACUAUGGUUAGCAAGCAAAUCAUCACAUGAAUUACCCUCCCUGAAAAUAUGCGAAACCUUCCAAGACAUAGAAGAUAAUAAGGAUUGGCAAAUACUCCACCUAGAUGCAAGACUCCAAGGAGGUUGUAUAUUUCCUAUGAGAAUGUCCACCACUAGAGUUGAAUCACUUUCAAUCCAUAAGUGAUGCCAUCCUUUGGCAUGAGCAAGCUCCACUGCCAGAAUAACCGAAAGAAGCUCCGCAUAUAUAGCAUGUUGUAUGUCAUAGAAAGCAGCAAAACAAGCAACAAAUUUACCAAGGUGAUCUCUGAAUAUUCCACCUCCUCCCGCCAACCCAGGGCUGUCCUGGCCAGCACCAUCCGUGUUAACCUUAAGCCAACCUAUGAUGGGAGGAUGCCAAAUUUUCUCCCUGAUCUUUGGAGAAUUCUUGAACCUCAAGUUGAUAUUUAGACUUCUCAAAAUGGCAAACGCAGUAGGAUUGUUGUUUGCAAAACAAUUAGAUUAAUUAGCAGCAAAACUAAUAUCCUGCUUUAGCUUGUCCAGAGCUCUAGCCACUGGGACUUUAGUAUCAUUAAACCUUGUUUUGUUUCUGCAAAACCAGAUUGAAGCCAUAAUUGAGAAAAUGUUAUUUGUGUUAAUUGAGAAAACUCAGUAGGACAUGUUUGUGUUAAUUGAGAAAAUGUUAUUCAACCAAAGCCAUAUUUACUUGGCAAAGUCACAGUGAAGGAAAAUGUGAUUGGAUGUCUCAAUGCUAUGAUUGCAAAGACUGCACAUGGACACUAAACUGCAUCCUCUUCUCUGGAGAUUUUCGUCCGUGGGGAUUUUGUUGUGCCACCAUCUCCAAGCUAUGAAGGAUUUAGAAGGAGGGGUUUUAGUUGACCAAAUUUCCUUGAACCAAUUCACUGGACUAGCAUGGGGGAAUAUACUGUUGUGGGCCUCUUUUAGUGACAAAUUGCCAUCAGAUGAGCCAUGCCAAACCAUUCUAUCCUCAAUAUUAGGAAUUAGAGUCCUGGAGAUUGCUCUGGAGACAUUCGGGAACAGCUCAACCAAUUGAGAAGGAAUUGUCCAUUUACCUUGGUGAAUGAAGUCUGCCACAUAGGCUUACAGAUUGGAUCUAAGUUCCUCAGGAAUGUUCAAAAGAUCCACCAGAGAAGAUCCAAGCCAGUUGUCAGUCCAGAAUUUUAUUUUGGUUCCAUUUCCAACAAGCCAACCUGAGUUGAGAUGGACAUAGGACCAGUUAGCCUUGAUUCCUGGCCAAAUUGAAGACUUGUAGUAUCUAGAGGAGAUUAUGCAAUCCCUUCCAAACCUCUGUCUAAAGAAAAUAGCCCAGUCUUUGCAAGAAGAGAGCAUGGUCCAUGAGAGUUUAAUUAGGGAAGCUUUGUUCAUCUUGGAUAUUGACAUGACUCCCAAGCCACCAACCUGAAAUGGAGAGCAGACUUGAUGCCAAUUGACGGUGAUUAGUUUUUUGACUUCAGUAUUCCCAGCCCAGAUGAAGUUUCUGAUCUUUUUGUCUAGGUCUCUAAGAAGUUGAGCAGGCCAAACAUAUAUGUGAAAAUAAUAAACUCACAUGCUCUGAAUGACGGAUUUGACUAACUCCACUCUGCCCAUGAUUGAGAGGCAUGAGCCUUUCCAAGUUGCCAAUUUCUGAGUAAUUCUGUCCACAAUUGGUUGCAGGUGGACCUUUUUGGGCUUUCCUUUGAAAACAGGGACACCAAGGUAUGUGAAAGGCAGAGAUCCAGCAUUGAAACCAAGGAGGGAAGAGAGGUUCAAAACUUUCCUAGGAUUUGAGUUUGCAGUGAAAAACUGACUUUUGGAGGCAUUUAUGAUCUGGCCAGAAGCAAGAGCAUAAUCAGAUAGCAGAAGUUUGAGAUUUCUGAGCUCUCUUUUCACUCCCUUGCAGAAGAUGAGCACAUCAUCUGCAUAUAGCACAUGGCUCAUAGUUUGCAGAGAUGAAGGACCACUAAUUAUGCUCAGAUUGCCAAGAGCCACAAGCUUUAGGAUUCCCCUGCUCAGGACCUCCUCAGCAAUACAGAACAGCAGGGGGGAUAGAGGGCCCCCUGCCUAACCCCUCUCUUGCAAGCAAAGUAACCCACAUUGUGACCAUUAACACUUAUGGAUAGCCUUGCUGAGUGAAGAAUUACCUUAAUCUAAGCAAUAAAUUUCUGAUCAAAACCAAAGGCCCUGAGUGUGUCCAGCAGAAAAUCCCAAUCAAUUGUGUUAAAGGCCUUAGAAAUGUCCAGCUUUAUGAUUAGAUUGCCACCAAAAGUCUUGUAAUCCAGCAAAUUAGUUGCUUCAGAAGCUAAACAAAUGCAGUCUUGGAUGUUUCUAUCUCUUAUGAAGCCCUUUUGAUUCUGAGAGACAAUUCUAGUGGCAAUGUAGGCAAGCCUAUCAGCCAGAAUCUUAGUAAUAAUUUUGAAUUGAAAAUUAGCUAAGGCAAUUGGCCUGAAAUCAAGAAUUCUGUCAGCACCAAGGCAUUUAGGAAUUAGGACAAUAGUGUUGGCAUUCAUGUUUGCAAGAAUCCACCCAUGAGAGAAGAAUUGGGACACUGAAAGGCAAACAUCAUGCCCAACUAUAUCCCAGAAAGUUUGGAAGAAGCAUCCCCCAAAUCCAUCAGGCCCUGGUGCCCCCUCACCAUUCAUAUCAAACACUACCUUCUUGAUCUCCUCUGUGGAAGGCAUGAAAGUUAACCUUGCAUUUUCCUCUUGAGAAACCAUAUUAGGAAUUACCUCCUGGAUGAGGGAAUUCUGUCUAGUAGAAUUUUCAGAAGCAAAAAGCUUCUGAAAGUGGUCCAACACAUGAUUUCCUAUCUCCUCUUGCUCUGUUAGCAAUCUAUUACCAUCCUUUAACAUAGUCAUAGACUUGGUGGCCUGCCUUAUUUUGGUGACUCUAUGGAAAAAAGCUGUAUUUCUAUCCCCAUUAAGUUGCCAAUUUAUCCUAGCUUUUUCUUUCCAAAAAGACACCUCCACAUCAAGAGCAAUCAUGAGCUUGUUUUGGGCUAAAGUUUCUUGAUCCCUCCAAUCCUGGCUAGGCAUGAUAGUCCUGGAAUUUUGAAUUAGCUCCAACUCUGCCAUAGCAGUUUUGACAUUCAGAUGUAUGUUGCCAAAAACAUUUUUGUUCCAAAGCUUAAGCUCUUUCUUAAGAUUCUUGAGCUUCUGAGUAAGAAUAUACAUAGGGCACCCAUAGCAAGGCCUAUUCCAGAUAUUUUCCACCACCCUUUUACAAUCCUCAUGCUUGGUCCACAUUUUAUGAAACCUAAAAGUAGAAGCUCUCCUUUCAGAAGGGAUAGAAGUGAACAGAAUAGGAUGAUGAUCAGAGGCUAUUCUAGGCAAAGUGCAACAAGAUGUUUGAGUCCAAGUGUUUAGCCAUUCCUCAUUACACAAACUUCUGUCUAGCCUUUUUUUAGUUAGAGCAGCCCCAGAUCUCCUAUUAGACCAAGUGAACAAAGAUCCUCUUGUGGCUAGGUGGAUCAACUUAGAGUAAUCAGUGAAAGUUUUGAAUUCAGUAGAGGGCAAGGCAUGAGGCACACGAGGGCCUCUGGCCUCAUUGGCACCAAGCACCAAAUUGAAAUCUCCUAUGCAAGUCCAAGGCCCAUCAUUUGCAAUUAUCUGAGCAUUCAAAUCAUACUAGAGAGCUCUUCUCUGAACAUAAUUAGUAUGAGCAUACACUGCACUAAUGUAGCAACUUUUAUCAGCUAUUGAAACUGAGAUAUUAAUGUGCUGAGAAGAAUUAUGCAAAACUGUAGGAGAGUGAUCAUGGCUGCAUAAGCCCCAUAGAUUGGGCAUCAUAUUACCCCUAUUAUUGAUGACAAAUAGAUUCAUCCUAAUUUCAUUCCAAAAGGUAUCCAGAAUUACCUCCUUAGCUAUCAUAGGCUCAGCAAUAAACAAGAAAUCUGGUUUAUGAGUUAAGCAAAGAUUUUUAAGGACUAACCUAGUGUUGAGGUUUCCAAGACCUCUACAAUUCUAGUAGAGAAUUAUCAUUGGACAGUUUUGGAGUGCCCACCCCUACGGGUAUAUUGAGUCCUCUCCGAGAUUCCUUUCUUUCUAAGCUUUUUCUUUUGAGAUUUUGACAGGAUAUGAGUGAAUUGUUCCUCUUCCUCUUCCUCCUCUAUAUUGUCAUCUGCCCAAAGCCUGCCAACUAGCUGCAUAUCCUUGGCUGCAUAUCCUUGGCUGCAUUUAUAUUGCCCAAUUCCUGUGUAUCAAGCACUAUGAAAUUGUCUUUAAUAUUCUGUGGCACUGAUGGAUCAAAUGAGCCCUCCAAACUUGCCAUAUUUGGUGUCUCUUGCCCUGCCUCCUUUUCAGGUGUGUUUUCAACUCUUUCUAUCCCUUCCCAACUAGCCUCCUCUCUAUUGUCUAUCUCCAAAUUGAUUACUAGGUCAUCAAUUUUCCUGAUUGUUGGAACCUCCUCCUCCUCUUUAUUUUCCUUAUGGCCUGAUUCCUCAACUUUCUUUCUAGGGGCAUUCUCAUCCACCUUCUUUUUAUUCACUCUACGACAAUUGCUCUGUAGAUGACCAAUAUUGUUGCAGAUAGUACAAUAGGAAGGGACAUUUUCGUAUUCAAUCCCAACAAAGAAAGGAAAACCCUCUCUCUCCACCAAGACUUGAUCAUGUAAAUCCUCUUUGAUGUUUAUCUCCACCAACACUCGAGCAUAAUGUCCAAAUGAUCUCUUGGAUGUAGCAUCAUCCAAUGAUAUGGGAGUGCCUAGUCCCCCUGCAAUGGAAAAUAGAAUCCUUGGGCUCCAGUAUUCCUGUGGCAACCCGAAUAUUUUGACCCAGCAUUGAGAGUGUGAUUGUCUUUGAUGAUUUGGAUUGAAAUCUGGUGUCCAUAGGGACAUCCUAAGGAACCCUGGUUUUAGAGACCAAGCCCCUACUGCACAGAUGCUUCUCAUAUCCUCCACCGAUGAGAAUGAGAAGUCGUAGUAACCCUUGCCCAGAGACACCAUGGUCCAUGAGCCUAUCACCCACAUCUUCUGAAGUUUGUUUUUCAGAUCUACAUACUUCAGAGGGCUAUCCCCCUUUGCUAGGAUUAGCCUCCCAUGAAGGUGAUUUCUACACCUCUGCAAACCCGCCUGAUAAUCUUCCUCUGGAAUUUUUAUCGCGAUUGCAUCCCCUUUGAUGCAGGGUUGCGGAAGUUGGGAGAUGGCAAUGUCACAUGAGUUCUGGAGAACUUGUGCAAAGGACUUCUUAAGAGAAGAGGGUGGAAGAGGUUUAGGAGACGUGGUUGUUUCAGAAAGGAAGCUCCAAGGAACAAAAGUUUCCAUGAUUAAGCAAGAAGAUGGUUUCCCAGAAAGUUGGAGAUGAUCAAAAUCCCAUAUUCUUGGAGCAUGCCCUAGCAGAGCAUCAGGGUCAUCUUUUAUUACAAUGAUCUAGAUAUUUUGCCAAACAUAUUCUUGGAGCAUGCCCUAGAUAUUUUGCCAAACAUGAUAGGACUUGGAAAAUGUGAAAAGAGGUGGUUUAUUGCUUCCUCCUCCUCCCCACAAAGAGCACAACACAAUACUACUUGUGUGCCUAAGACACCCCUUUGAGCAAGGCACAACUUUGUUGGUACUCCAUCCAUGAAAUUUUUUACAUUAAACAUUUGAUUUUUGUUGGGACAUUGCAUUUCUACACCUUGUUGAAAUCCACAUUGAUACAAUUUCUGUCAUCAUGAGACAACACCUUAUAAAAUAUAUACAAAAUGCAAAAAGUAAAUAUAUUAAUAGUACUAAUGAAGGUUAUUUUAUAAAAUAUAUACCGUAUUUAUAUUGUUUGUAAUUGGUUGAAAAUGUAUUUAAAUUAGAAAUAUAAUUAAUUAUUUUUCUGACCAAUUAUAAGUAGUGACACAUGAAGUAUCUAAUCAUUUCGAAGAUAAGAUGUCAUCGCCUUGUAUUCAUUCCUGUUUUAUGCUAGUUCAUGAAAGCUCUAUUUGUAACAAUUAGUUGGAAAACUAGCUGAAAAUUGAGAAGUUUGCUGAAAAAUGAAAAAUGAUGACGUGAUUGUUGAGUAAAAGUAGCUUAUAUAUGUGAUAGUUUAUGCCUUUAUGGGCGAGAAACUAGUUGAAGACUUUAGGAUUGUAGCUAAAAUAUUAUAUAUGCAUAAGUAGCUUAUUUGAAUACAACAAUUUAACAAAACUACAUGAAAUUUGUUAAAUAACAAAAUGACAUCUAAUAUUGUGUUUAUUUAUUAUUAUUUUUUGUUUACUUACUUACUACCUAAUUAAUUAUACAACAAUUAAAUAAAAGGUAAGGUUUUUUUUAUGGAUAUAUAUUGUUAUUUAGUAAAACAUAAAAGGUCAUGAUGAAAUAUAAUUAUUGAAUUUCCUUAUAUGGAUUUUGGAUAACUAUUGCUUCCGAAUUUAACUUUCAAAAGUUAUAAUCUUUAAUUUUACUAACUUGUGGACUACAACAACAAAUUACAAUAUGUCUAAUAAGCUAUAAACAAUAGCAUAUUGUCAAGCAUUAUCUAAUGUGUUAAACUUUUGGUAUGAGACAUCAAAAAGACUUCUUGAUGGAUUAAGAAGUACGGAAGAAUGUAUGAAUGAGAAACUAAAAACUUGAAGAAAGAAAAAGAAUAGAAAUUUUAUUUCUCAUAUUAAAUGAAUCUCAACAAUGCUUUAACAUCCCCGCAAGCUAGAAUGUAACAUGUCUUCCAAACUUGAAAAUGAUUGUGUUGAACACAAUGAUAUACUCUAAUAUCUCCUCUUGUUGGUGAGUGAAUCUUCAUCUCUCAGUCUUAAAAUCAUAAUGCGAAUCAACAACAACACUUAACCACCAUAGGCAGAAGCAAUUUCAUCCAAAGCUUAAUCAUCUAUCUUGACAGAAGCUUAACCAACCAUAAUGGAUGAAAGGGAGAAAAUAAAAUGAACCUUAAUCUUGAUCUGAAUAUGUUGCUUCAAAGAAGAAGAAUUACAUACUUUAACAAUGUUGUGUAUUUAAUGAGAGAGGUAAAGAAAAUAGAAUAGUAAAGAAAAAAACGAUAAUUUUGGGAAAUGAUAAGGAAUAAUAAAAUGUUGCGAUUUAGAAGCUCCUUGAUGAACAUAAUGCUAUUCUUGAUGAUAUUUUCUGAAAGAUUGAAAAAGAACUCCAAGCUAUAGAAGCAGCAAACAUGCAUGUCAUUUUAGAAAGUGAACCUUUGAUAGAUAAGGUUUUGCAAGAGCUUAAAGUGGCAACACAUUGUGAGGAAGAUGUGAGUGAAUGGUUAGGCAUGACUCAACCUAUCAUUUCAAAGUCUGGAACACAAGUAUGGACUCAUAAUAUAUCACAUUAGAAUUCCAAAAGUAAGAGCCUUACACCUAAGGCAAUAAUACACCUUAGAUAUUAAUAUUGUUGAAGAAGCCUAGGCUUGUGAUCUUGUGACCAAGUCCCUCUUGGAUUUCUCAGUCACCAUAGAAGACAAUGAUGCACUAUAAUGAUGUUGAUGAAGAAGAUAAUGUUGAAGAUGUUGAGUUGUUUAUCAAUCUUGCAUACUUCUUGCCGAGGUAUAAGACUUGUCCAUGAAUGAUAAAAAAACACAUACACAAUGAAGAAGAGGUGGUGAGAGUACCAAAAUGAAUUGAAGCGAAAAACAUCUUCUUUGGAAUUAAUACAAAUACCACAUCUUCUUGCAAAGAACAUAACCACCAAAAGCAUGAAUUUUGUAGCACAUCACAUGGCGGAAAAGAAGAAUAUAAGCGGAAGUUAUAAAAAAGAAUAAUUAUGCUCUGGUACCAUAUUAAACUUUUGAUAUGAGCUAUGAAAAAGACUUUUUGAUGGAUCAAGAAGUAUGAAAGAAUGCAUGAAUGAGAAAUUGAAAACUUGAAGUAAAAAAAAUAAAGAGAAAGAAUAGAAAUUUUAUUUAUCAUAUUAAAUGAAUCUCAACAAUGCUUUAACAUAAUACUAAUGUUAAAAUCAACUUUGUAUUGUUAAAUCAAUUAACACUGAAGAUUAACCCUUUAUUUUGGUUAAAAAAUAUUAGCUCUAGCUUUUUAAAUAUGUAUUUUUUAAAAUUGAUUUUAGAUAUUUUCUAUAAAUUUCUUCCAAAAUUUUCUAAUUGUACUUAAUAUCUAUAUAAUAUUAGUGUAUAUUGUUUUACACAAUCAAUAUCUUUAUCAUUCAUCAUUCAUGUAUAUUACUACUUUUAUUUAAGAGGAACAUUAACACAACACAUGAUAUGAUAUCUUUACAAUGUAAAAAGAAAAUAUAUAGAGUAUUUUCUCUUUCUAAUUAUAUUAAUUCUGGAAAAAGUAAAUAUAUGAAUAUUAAUAAUGAAGGUCAGUAAAUAUAUAAAAAUAUAGUGUCAUUCUAUCAUUCCCCAUUUAUUGUCAUUCUAUAUAUUUUCUCUUUCUCAUUCUAUAUCCGGAAUAUGAAUAGUAAUAAUGAACUGAUAAUAUAAGAGUUUUAUAUAGUGUCAUUUUAUCAUUUGCCAUUUAUUUUUAAUCCUUAUUGACUAUUAAAAAAUAAUACAAAAUAAAUGAUGAAUGAUGUAUUGACUAUAUAUAAAUAUUUACAUUAAUAAUAUAUAAAUAUUAUAAUUAUUUUUUAUAUAUUUAAUGAAACAAUCUAUAUUAACUAAACUACUUGAUAAGAAUAGUGAAAAUGUUGAUAUAAGAAAGAACUAAUAUUUAAAAUGAGAAUUAAGAUUUUGCAAAAGUCAAUGUUAUGAGUUGUGAAAUGCACAAAGUACUAUAUCCAUCCAUUAGCUCUAUAUGAUAAUGAAUAGAAAUUAACUGUACCAAAAUGUUAUCCUAUCUCAGUUUCAACCAAUUAUAUUUUUUCAAGUUAUUAAAAAAAACCAGUAUUAAAAGUUUAUAAAAUGACUUACCAAAGCAAUGAUUUUUAAUUUUUUGAGUGUAUGCACUGUAGUGCAAAAAUUUAUACAUUGAUAAUAUGUUAUCCACCAUUCAUUUGUAUUAUAUUUGAAGAGUAUUAAAAAUAAAUCAUAAAUUGAUAGUAUAUAAAACUUUUACACUAUUUGUGUAUACAUCAUUUUUUGUUUUUUUACUAACAUGGAUCACAAUUAAUUGGUUUAGAGAGGAGAGAAAAGACAUGCAUGCAUGUUACAAUUCUUUAUCUCUCUUGCUCUCUCCAGCCAUACAUUUCCAUUUUCUUUUAACAGAUUUUUCUUUAAUAAAAAAGUGCAGUUAGUAAAUUUUAGCAACCUAUAUUUUCAUGUGUCUCUUAUGUGCCAAUUAUUUGUUGAAUUGUAGAAUAUAGAAGAAGCCACUAAGUAAAGUAAAAUCGUUAAAAAAAAGAAGAAUCCACUAUGGUCUAUGUUACAUGAAUGAAGGACAUAUUCCUAUCAUCUAGUCUAAUGUUAUUGUAAUGGUGUUGUGGUGGAAAGUAAUAUUUCCUAAAACUUUAUAUCUUCAAUACAUUAAAACUUGUUAUCUCACUCAUAUACAUCUCAACUUUUGGGUUAUGAAAUGCACACCAUACUAUAUGUAGAUGGAAAGUAGCUUAUAUAUGUGAUAAUUUAUGCCUUAAUGGGUGAGAAACUAGUUGAAGACUUUCGGAUUGUAGCUAAAUAUUGUAUAUGCAUAAGUAGCUUAUUUGAAUACAACAAUUUAACAAAACUACAUGAAAUUUGUUAAAUAACAAAAUGACAUCUAAUAUUAUGUUUAUUUAUUGUUAUUUUUUGUUUCCUUACUUACUACGUAAUUAAUUAUACAACAAUUAAAUAAAAGGUAAGGUUUUUUAUGAAUAUAUAUUGUUGUUUAGUAAAACAUUAAAAGGUAAUGAUGAAAUAUAAUUACUGAAUUUCCUUAUAUGGAUUUUGAAUAACUACUUUAUUUCUAAUUUAACUUUAAAAAGUUAUAAUCUUUAAUUUUACUAUCUUGUGGACCACAACAAAAAAUUACAAUAUGUCUAAUAAGCUAUAAACAAUAGCGUAUUGUCAAGCAUUAUCUAAUGCUAAAGUUAAAAGCAAUUUUGUAUUGUCAAAUCAAUUAACACUUAAGAUUAACCCUUUAUUUUGGUUAAAUAAUAUUAGCUCUAGCUAGCUUUUUAAAUAUGUACUUUUUUUAAAAUUGAUUUUAGACAUUUUUUAUACAAUUUCUUUCCAAUUUUUUUAAUUGUGCUUAAUAUCUAUGUAAUAUUAUUGUACAUUGUUUAACACAAUCAAUAUAUCUAUCAUUCGUCAUUCAUGUAUAUUAUUAUUUUUUAUUUAAGAGGCACAUUAACACAACACAUUAUAUGAUAUCUUUAUAGUGUAAAAAGAAAAUAUAUAGAGUAUUUUCUCUUUCUAAUUACAUUAAUUAGGAAAAAGUAAAUAUAGGAAUAGUAAUAAUGAAUGUCAUUUUAUAAAAUAUAUUUAAUAUUUGAUGAGAAAAAAAUAUAUGAAACGAGACAAUGUAAGAAUUUUAUACACUGUUAUUCCAUUAUUCACUACUUAUUUUCAAUCCUCAUUGAUUCUUAAAUAAAAGUAAUAUAAAUAAAUAAUGAAUGAUGUAUUGAAUAUAUAUAAAUGUUUACACUAACAAUACGUAAAUAGUCAAAUUAAUAUAUUUAGUGAAACAAACUAUAUUCACUAAACUAUUUAAUUUUGAUAAGAAUAGUCAAAAUGUUGAUAUAAGAAAUAUUAAUAUUUAAAAUGAGAAUUUAGAUUUUGCAAGUCAAUGUUAUGAGUUGUGAAAUGCACAAUGUACUGUAUCCAUCAUUAGCUCUAUAUUAUAAUUAACAGAAAUUAACUGUACCAAAAUGUUAUCCUAUCCCAGUUCCAACCAAUUAUAUUUUUUUAUGUUAAUAAAAAAAAAUCAGUAUUAAAAGUUUGUAAAUAAAUUAGCAAAGCAAUAAUUUCUAAUUUUUUGAGUAUAUGCACUAUAGUGCAACGAUUUAUACAUAGAUAAUAUGUUUUCCACCGUUUAUUUGUAUUAUGUUUGAAAAAUAUUAAAAUGGAAUCAUAAAUGAUAAAUUGACAAUGUAUAAAACUCUUAUAUUGCCUAUGUGUAUAUACCAUUUUCUCUUUUUAACUAACAUGGAUCACAAUUAAUUGGGUUUAGAGAGGAGAGAAAAGACAUGCAUGCAUGUUACAAUUCUUUAUCUUUCUCUUGUGCCUUCCAGCCAUACAUUUCCAUUCUCUUUUAACAGAUUUUUCUUUAAUAAAAAAGUGCAGUUAGGAAUUUUUAGCAACUAUAUUUUCAUGCGUCUCUUAUGUGCCAAUUAUUAGUUGAAUUGUAGAAUUUAGGGGAAGCCAGUAAAGUAAAGUAAAAUUAUUAAAAGAAGAAGAAACCACUUUGGUCUAUAUUAUAUUACAUGAAUGAAGGACAGAUUCCUAUCAUUUAGUCUAGUGUUUUAGUAAUGGUGUUGUGGUGGAAAGUAAUAUUUCCUAAAACUAUAUUUUCAGCACAUUAAAACUUGUUAUCUCACUUACAUUCAUCUCAAUUUUUUGGGUUCUGAAAUGCACACCAUAUUAUAUCUAGAUAGAGAUUAUAUGUUCCUAAUUGUGUCUCAUCUCUUAUUCCGAGCCAAUAAAAAUGUAACAUUUUAUUUAAAAUUUUUUUCUUUUAUUCAUGUAGCAAUAUAUGAUUAAUCCAGGACAUAGAAUAAGAUACUAUUGGAGACAUCCAUCCAUUAAAUAUAUUAUAAUUGUGUUAUGUUUAGGGAAUGCCAUGCAUGGAUGUUACACCUCUUUAUCUCUCUCUAUCAGAAUUACUAAGACAGUGCAUGGAAACAAAAACAUCACCAAGUUCAUGAACACCAACCUUUGUACUGUUUUUGCAUUCGCGAUUCAACUUUUGCUUUUCCCUCCGUUGCCCAUGUUGUUAUAUAAGUGGACAUUUCAUGUUCCACACACUACACAUUUAUUCUAAGAACUCACAAGGAUUUUAAGGAUUUAGUCUUCUCAUGUCUCCAUCAAUGCUGGCUAUUGUUCUCUCCUCACUAGUGUUCGUCGUGCUGGUUUCGGCGGCUCCGACGUCUCUAACGCUGAAAAGAGCGUUCCCUAAUCAUGGAAUGAACUUGAGUCAACUUAGGGCAAUGGACAUGAAAAGGCAUGGUAGAAUCCUACAAGCCAGUGUUGUCAACUUCCCCGUUUAUGGAACCGCAGAUCCUAUUGCAGCUGGGUAAUGAAUUCUGUUUAUGUUGUUUUAGUUUACUUUAAAUUUAUUUUUUUCUUCAUCUUUUAGAAGCAGAUCUAGAUGUUUCAUCUUCUGCAUCAUCAUUAAUUGCAACAUAAGGAGUAAUUGCAACAGGUCUCAUCAUUUGAGAAAAAUUCUUCAUAAAAAUAUUCGCAGUACCACUCUUGUGAAUACUACUAGGAUCCCUAGCUAUGACAAUACAUGACCCUAAUAAGUUUGUUAUUCACUGGAGUAAAAUUCAACGCAUCCAAUGCUAUUAUAGCAUCCUGAGAGUUACUGUGUUAACAUAACCAUAACUUAGUGAUGGAUGCAUGGUGGUUAAGCCACGACACACCCUAACUAGCAUAACAAUGUGUGGUAUAAUAGGAGGGCAGAAAGAGGGAAGGGGACCACGUGUCCUCAUUUCAUUCACUGUCCCGAGUUAAUCAUAUAUUAAUACAAGGAUAAAAUAAAAUUUUUGAAAGCAAAAACUUUUUGAGGUUAAAUCAUAGUCUAUAUCCUUUGUAACCAAUAGGAUAGUAAACAAAGAUAGUGGUAGUGGCUCUAAGAGAAAACUUAUUUAUCUUGGAAGGCAAUGUUCAUAUAUAAGCAAGAUAACCAAAUAUAUUUAGAGAUGAAUAAAUUGCUUCCUUUUUAAACAAAAUUUGGUAAGGAAAUUACUCCGUCAAAAUUGGGGUUCUAUUUCUAAAAAAAACAUUUUUUUAAAGAAUUAGGGAAAGAUAAUCCAUGAGUAGAAUCUAAAUACCAACAUUAUAAAAAUGUUCAUUGAGCAACAUAAUAAAGUUCAUGCCUUGUUGAGCAUAAUCAAUAAAGGAUCUUGUACUAACAAUAUUUUGGUAUUCUAUCCUUUUUUGAAGAAAGAAAAAUCACUAAUUCUCUUGAGUAAAAUAAGAAGUUGGCAAAAGAAAGAGAUUUGAUAUCAUCAUGGAUCAAUCAAUUUUUUUCUAAACUUUAUUUAAUCAAUGAGUCAAUAGUUCUCUUAUGUACACCAUUUAUGUAAUUGAACCUCAAGCUAAUUUAACUAUAUGAGCAAUUAACCGAUCAUAUGUGAAUACAAUUUAAUAACUCUAAGUAAUAGUUAGCCUCAUUCAUUGAUAUUUUGUGUUCAUAAUUUAUGUUUCCUUUUAUAUUGUUGAUUAAGUUUAUCUCUUAUGUUCACCAAUUAUGUUCAUUAAUCCUUUUAUUAAAUUUGAAAUGCAUGAUUUAUUGCAGACUUUAUUACACAUCUGUUCAUUUGGGUUCUCCUCCAAGGGAAUUUCAUGUGACAAUUGACACCGGUAGUGAUAUGUCGUGGGUUAAUUGUGUCUCCUGUAAUGGGUGUCCUCAAACAAGCAAUCUCCGGGUAAAUUCAAUUUUUUAUAAUUUGAAAAUUCAAUUCCAUGUAGAGUUUUUAAAUUGGGUUAUCAUAAUGGAUUCAGGCUAGCCUAUAUCGAGCUCAAACUAAAUUAGGAUGAGCUAAAAAGCUCAAUUAGAAUUUAUGUAAAUGAGAUUAUUAUCCAAACCUGUCCUAAACGAGUUGUGGGCUGUGGUGAACUAACCCACAUAAUGUUCUUUAAAAAAACAAUUAUUUUAGAUUAUAAGUUUUUUAAGCCUAUUUUUAAUCAAAGAAAUUUAUUUUAAUUUUAAACCCCUAACUCACGGAGCAGGAAUGCAGAGAACAUUUUUGAAAAAUUAAACUUUUUUUCCCUUGAUUUGCUAGAGUUCAUUAUCUAACCUAUUAGAUAAUAAAAAGGAGAACAUGAAAUACACAUUCAUUCUCUAUCUCAUAUUCCAAUAAAACAAAUAAAAAUCAAAAUGUAGAAUGAAUGGAUAGAUAGUGUGACAUAUAAUAGAGAGUGAAUGAAGACAACACAAAUUACCUAAAAGAAAAUGGAACAAAGAAUGAAAAAAUGAUAAUGGUUGUUUACAUUCGAGCCACAUCUUCUAUUCUAAAUUUUGAAAAUUUCAUCUCCUUUUUGUUUUUUAUUGGUCAGAAAAAUGAAACAAUGAAUGAAAUAUAUAUCAACUUCACAUUUUCUAAUCAAUGUGAAUGAGAGGAUAUAUAUAAAGUGGUAUAUAUCUUAAAAUAGAAGAUAUGUUCAUGUUUAACUACUUACUUUCGAAUAGAUUACAAGAGACACACACUUAAGGGAGAGAAGUGGUAGUGUUUCUCAUAUUAUUUCCAGCUAUUGUAUUAUUUUGUUGCAAAAAAGAGCAUGCGAUUUAGAGUCAAACUAAGUUGUGAAGUGUAGAGUGUAAAAUUAUUCACAAUCCAUAAUCCAUCCAAAUUAAAUUCAUCCGUUAGAACUAAUGACUUUGAAUGAAUAUAAUUCAAUAGAUAGUGUUGAUAAUGGAUGGAUUCAAACCCAUCCAUUAUAUCCAAUGGAUAUCCAUGGGUAUAUCCAUUUGGAUUGAUACCCAAUCCAUCCAAAAAAAUAAAAACAAAAAUGUUUUUUCCCAUAAAGCAACAUGCAGAUCCAACUUUGCUAUACAAUCCAACAUGAAAAGUAUAAACCAAUGUUAUUAAUAUUGUAAUGAUCAUCAAACCGAUCAGAGUAGUAAUAUAUUGGUAUGGUGGUUCAACUAGUAGUUCACUAAUUAAACCGCAUACUAGUGAAGUUAGAUAUACAUAUAUUUUAUACUAAUAUUAAUGUUGAAAAAUCAAUAAAGAAUACAAUAACAAUUUUUAUUUAUACCACUUGUUAAAAAAUGUAUAUUAUAGAUCAUGUUUUAGAUGUAUAACAAUGUUGUAGUUGUGUGUUUGAUCAUCCAUACUAAUAUUUUGGCAUCAAUAAAUAAUUUUCAUUACAAAAGAAUUUUACAUGAAACCAUCUGGUAUGACCAGUACAAUUCAAUUGAAAACUAACCGGUAUGACCAGUUUUUACCGGUAUAAUUGCACGACCAAUAUAAAUGUUGUAUCGUAGCAGUAUUAAGAUUGGUUCACCAGUGUUAAUACAAGUGAUAUAAACUACUUUCUUUCUAACAAAAGGAUUCCUUCAACAUUAUUAUCAUUUUAUUCAAAACAUUUUUUCAAAACGUUUCAAUAAAGAUUGGUAUAACAUUUUUGUGUCAUGAUUGAGCAUAAGAAAAAAUGCAUGAUUGCAUGACUGCUUUAUUAAAUAAUAAUUUUAAAAGGCUUUUUCCUUCAAAAAAUGCUUUAGUUCAAAUUAAAAAAAUUGGAUUAGUUAUUCAUCCAUCCAAUCCAUUAAAAUGGAUAUGGAUGAAAUGAAUGGAUUGGAAUCCAUAUGAAUGGAUUGGAUAGUUUAGAAAUGUGAUUUUAUGGAUUUAUAUGGAUUGGUGAAUGACUUCCAUCAAUCCCUUAUGAUCCAAAUCCAUAUCCAUCCAAUUGCCACCAUUAGUGAUAUUUGCAGCUAGUGAUAUUUUGUUGCAAAAGAUAACAUCAUUUAUAGUAAAACUAAAAAGGAAAAAUAAAUAUACGGGUAGCCCCAGCCUGUCAGGAUAAACCCGGACCGAACUCAGUUUUAUAGUGAUUCGACCGAUUCGGGCGAAAAAGUCCAGUUUUAAGAAAAUGUACCUAAAAAGGUACACAUACUAUAUUAUUUUUCAGGCUUUGACGGACUGGCUCGACCAAUCUGACCCAUUUUGACAGCUCCAAUUACAAGUUUUUAAUUGUAUAACUUGGAUCAUGUCAUCAUUAGUGACUUUUGUUAUAGAUUAAGCUCAAUUAUUUUGACCCUGAGAGUUCAUCAACAUCUUCGGUCAUCCCUUGUUCACACCACAAGUGUGCAAUUUGUUCCACCAACAACCAUUGUAGCUUUAAAGUUCAGUAUGAAGACGGUGGUGAGACAUCAGGCUACAUUAUUUCAGACUUAAUGCAUGUUGCCGAUAUUUCAGAGGGUCUAGUGGCACCAAAUUCAUCUGUGCCAUUAGUUUUUGGGUGAGUUAUCAUAAACCUCAAAUAAUUAAAAUAACAUUCCUAUUUUUUUAGUUGCUUCUCUCUUUCUUCUACGAAAGGUUUAACUUUGAAAACAUUACUUUGUAUGUUGUAUUAUGGAAUAGUUGUAGUAACAUGCGGACUGGGAGAUUGACAUCGUAUGAGAGUGCGCUUGAUGGGAUAUUUGGAUUUGGGAAAGAUGACACGUCUCUCAUCUCUCAGCUUUAUUCACAAGGAAAAGCUUCUAGAGUAUUCUCUCAUUGUCUAAAAGGAGAUACUAGCGGUGGGGGCAUUCUUGUUCUUGGUGAGGUUGUAGAGCCAAACAUGAGUUAUACUCCACUUAUUCCAAAACAGUAAGUGUGUUUUGUCUAGAAUAAAAUGAAAUUUUUUAAUUCCUACAUGUGAUAUCUCAUGUGGUGUUUGUUAAGUGUUAUAUAUGUUGGUCAUCUCUAUUCUUUGGUAAAAUGCACCAUAUCAAAUUAUGAGUUAAUUGUUUUAUGAUUAUCAUUUUGUCUUGUUAUUUUUUUGGUAUUUUUAACCGAAGACAUGUGUGCAUUAUUAUGUCAAAUAAUAUGCAAAAGUUGGAUUAAAUAUGUCACUAUAGAAAUACUAUUUAUACUGAAAUUACUUGAAUGAAAUUUUUUGGAAAAUAUUUACACUAAUAACUUGGAAAAAAUUCCAGACCUCAUUAUAAUUUAAAUCUGGAGAGCAUUUCUGUCAACGGACACACAUUGCAGAUUGAUCCGACAGUCUUUAUAACAUCAAGUACCAAAGGUGUCAUGAUUGAUUCUGGAUCAACUUUGGCGUUCUUUAUCGAAGAGGCCUACAAUUCUAUUAUUGACGCAGUGAGUUUUGCAUAGAUUAUUUUUAUCAUCAAAUUGGUAACGAUAAAUAUUGCUUUGAUUUUUUAUGCGGUCUAUGUGUUUUUAAAAAAUAGUUUGAUGCCAUCCCCCUCCUCCCCUCCCGAGAUUUAUCAAUAAUUAAUGACAAAUAUAUUUUUUGUGUAGAUUAAUAGUAGAAUUCCAAGAUCUAUAGGCACUACUGUUUCUAAUGGAUUUCACUGUUACUUGGUACCCACCAGGUUAAGUUGAAUAUUCAAAUAUAUCUUUGUGAAAUCUUUCAUGCCAUUUUUUAAUUGACUGCAUGUUAAAAAUAGAGGAUUUUCUGACACUUUCUAAACAUUUUUUUUUAUUUUUAGUGUGUUAAGCAUCUUUGACAUCUUUCCUCCAAUAAGUCUGAACUUUGCUAACCAUGCAUCUAUGGUUUUAAGGUCACAAGAUUACCUUAUACACUCUCCAACAGUAAGUAUUUAAGCCUCAACUUUAUGAUAGAAUUAGUUUGUAUUCAUUAUUUGCAAAGACUUUCAUGAUUAAUUGUGGGCAAGACUGAAUGCUUUGAGUAAUUACAUGUCUUUACUCCUCAUAUACAUCAAGUACUAUAUAUAAUUUAUGUAUGUACUAUUUAUUUUCAUGUUAUCUAACUAGUAUGACGAUGCCUUGUGCAUUACAGUUUUAUGGAGGAUUGUGGUGCCUUGGCUUUCACAAAACCCAAGAUAUAACAAUUCUAGGAGGUAUAUUGACACUCUAAACUUUUAGCUCCUAUAUUUAUGUCAUUUUAUUUGGUGAGAUACAUUGAAAGGAUAUGUAAAGUAAGUUUUGCAUAUGAUUGAAGUUCAACUAUUUUUUUUUAAAUUCUUAAAACUUAUUUAGAAUUAAUCUAAAAGUACUAUUCUUGUUUAUUGUGUGAGGUCAUGUUAUCUCUUUUCCAAGAUUAAGACACUGAUGACAAUACACUUUUUCUGCCAGACAUUAUAUUAAAAGACAAAAUUAUUGUGUAUGAUCUUACUAGCCAACAGAUUGGAUGGACUAAUUAUAAUUGUAAGUUUCACCUACAUUACUAUAAAUUUAUAUGAGCUAAGAGUAUCAAGGAUAACUAAAUCAAAUAUUUGGGCUAUCUUUGAUUCUCUAUAACUUAGUUUUGAUAUAUUAAUUUAAAUUAUUGAUUUAGGUUCAUUGCCGGUUAAUGUCUCUGCUCCAUCAUCUGGAAAAGGUAGAAAUGAAAAGGGAGGAGCUUCUUUAUGUGAUAGGCCUGAAAAGUUGACAAUGGUGAUCUUGGCUUUCAUAACACACAUGAUACUAAUAUUGAUAUAGUUAUCAGGGUCUUUAAUUUGGAGGAAGUAUUUCAAUAAUCAUUAAAGUAAAUAAUUGUUAAUACUAUAGAUUAGAUAAUAGUAUUUCAAUAAUUGUAUUUCUAGAAUAUUGUAAUUUGUGUGAUGUUGACUCUUGUAUGAUUAUGAAUGAAGAAAUAAAUGCUAUUUUAUUAGCUUUGUUAUUUGUUCUUAAGGGUAGUUACUAUUAGUCAAUUCUUUGUUGUAUUGUAGAAUGUAUGAGCAACCAAUAAAGUAAAGUAAAAUAGUUCAAAGUAUAGCUCACAACAUAUCUAACACUUAAACCUAUAGGUUAUAAUGACAUCAAGUCUUGAUGAUAAAAGUAGAUACCAUCUACCUAUUUGCAACAAAGUGUAGAUAACAUAACGACACUGAUUUCUUAAGAUACCAAAUAUGCAUAUAACAUAUAAUAAUACGGAUAAUUUCUUAAUCUCAACACACUCCUUUUUCUCUUAGAAAUUAGUUAUCCUUUUUAUACUAAUUGGGUUUAUUCUAUUAUGUGAUGCACCUAAUUUAAUCCUUUUAGAGUUGGCUUCAAAUUAUUCUAUGUAGACUUCCAUGGAAGGAACCCAAUGCACCUCUCACAUCAAAUCAUUGAAGUCUUGUAUGAAUAUGUUGAUGAUCAUAUUGUAAGUGGCAUGCAUGUUUUCUUUGUCACAGUUUUUAUCCCAACAAUUAUGUUAAAUUAAAAUUUGGUUGCAAAUAAAAAAACUCUACAAUAUCAGUGGUCUGAAUUAUAAGUAUUGUCAUUAGUAGAAAUGUAUAACAUUAUUGAUUAUUUUAUGUAACUAAACAAAUCUAAUGAAUGUAAUUUUACAAUUUGCUUAUAAAAUAUAUUGAGGUAUCUAGCAAUAACACGAGAAAUACAAUUUUAUAAUUUGAAAAACAACCUUGUAUAAAUUGAUGUACUUGGAUAUAAUAUUAUAUUGUCUGUGGCUUGUAUAAUUUUUAUUUUAUUUUUUAUAUCUACUCUUUAUCUCUUCCACCCCUUAGUAAUUAUUUUUUCACUAACUAUUUCAUUUAUUAGAAAAUUAGCUAUGAACAUAAAAAAUAUGAUAAAAAAUAUGUUCCAAUGAACAAUUAAAUAGGAGACAUAUUAUGUAUGUGGAUCUUGUAUAAAUAAUAUAUCACAUGAGUAUAUUAACCUUUUUUAAAUUUUAAAUAUUCAUUUUUGAAGAAAAUUGGAACUGCUCCUACGAGUGUGGCAUAUCGUAUCUUUGGUGGAGCAGCCCUAUUUCAUAACUUUACCCUAUACUUUUUACACAUAACCAAAGGCAAGUUUCUUGUCUGAAUUUGUAAUGACUAACAACUUGAAGGAGAUAUUAUAUAGUUUGAAGAAGGAUAAGUACAUAAAAUUCAGCUAUGCAACAAUGUGCAUUUCAAGUAAGGAAAAGACAAUAGUAAGGAAAAGAAGAAGGUAAUAGCAGAAAAAAAAGAUCUCAGCAGAGAAGGAAUCCCUUAUGGCUUAAAAGAUAAUGCCUGAAUUUGAGCAGGGCUUCAGUAAUUACAAAACAAUUCCCUUGCAUAGGCAGAUUGCUGUUGCAUUAUAGGAGAUAAUUUCCUUGAAAAGAAAGCAAUUGGAUGACUUUCUUGACUAAGAACAACCCCAAUUCCUGAACCUGAAGCAUCUGUCUCCAAAAUGAAAGAAAUUUUAAAAUUCGGAGCAUCCAAAACAGGAGCAGUAAUGAGUGUUUUUCUUAACUGACAGAAAGAUGUUGUAGCAGCUUGAGACCACUUGAAGCAAUCUCUUUUGAGUAAAUCAGAAAAAGUAGCAACAAUUUUACCAUAAUUUUUGACAAAUCUUCUAUAAUACACAGUUAAAUCCAAGAAACCUCGAAGUUGUUGCAAUGUGUUGGGUUGAGGCCAUUGUUGAAUAGCUUCCAGUUUACUAUUAUCCAUAACAACUCCCUCACCUGAAAGUGUAUGACCCAAGUAUUCAAUUAUUUGCACACCAAAAGAACACUUAGAUAAUCUAGCAAACAACUUAUGGCUCUGCAAGAUUUCCAAAAUAGAUUCCAAUUUCACAAGAUGAUCUAUCCACGAUGAACUAUAAACUAAGAUAUCAUCGAAGAAAACAAGGACACAUUUCCUCAAAAGGCCUUUGAGAAUUUCAUUCAUAAGACUAUGAAAUGUUGUUGGUGCAUUAGUCAACCUGAAUGACAUAACUAAUCAUUCAUAAUGUCCAUGGUGACUUCUAAAAGUUUUUUGUAGCGAUCUGCAGGGUCCACUAAAAUUUGGUGGUAACCAAAUAUGAGAUCAAGCUUGGAGAAAAAACAUGCCCCAAACAAUUCAUCAAUUAGUUCAUCCACCAUAGGAAUUGGAAAUGAAUAUUUAACAAUAAUGGCAUUAAGCGCUCUAUAAUCAGUAAACACUCUCCAUGACCCAUCCUUCUUUUGAUUAAGAUGAGUGGAGAAGAAAAAAAGGCUCUUGCUUGGUUGAAUAAUGCCCUCUUUUAACAUGCCUUCAACCAAAUGUUCAAUUUCUUCUUUUUGACUAUGGGGAUACUUGUAAGACUCAACCUUAACAAGAUUAGAAACUUCUAGCAAAGGUAUAAAAUGAUCAUGUGAUCUAGGAGGAGGUAGUGAAGUAGGAAUAGAAAGCUAACUCAGACUUGAUAUUGCCAUAUAGAUCCAAAACAGUAAUAGGGAAAGGAGUUUCCUCAAUUAUGUGUAUGCUGAAAAUUUAUGUUAUACCAUCAAUUUGUAUCAUUCUUCUGAGAUGAUGGAGUGUAGCUGGAACAAGAAGUAAAUAUUUAUCACCUCUCAAUGAAGUAAAAUUUCCUUACCAUAAAAAAUUGAGUUGCAAGAAAUCGUAAUCUGCAAUAUGUGCUCCAAUAGUUUUCAACCAGCUUGUACCCAAUAUUAAAUCAACACCAGAAAUUAGAAGCAAAAAUACUAGUAAUUGAAACGAAUUUCCUUGAGCAUGAACUAAGACCUGUUGAACCCUGCCUUCCACAUGCAUAUAGUUUCCAUUUCCUACCAUAACUUUGAACAUAGGAGUUGGUUCUAUAGGUAGUUUCAGAAAGUUAGCCACUCUUGGCUGGAGAAAAUUAUCAGCGCUCCCCCAUCAAUCAGAACAGUAAUAGGCAAUUGAUCAAUGUGAGCCACAAAUCUUAUAGUGCCUACACCCAAACCACCUUUCAGGGCAUUCAAAGAUAAAUGUUGAUCCUUAGCACUAAUAGGUUCCUCAGAAUCAACCAUAGAAUGCUCCUCACAGUCCCUUACUAUAAAAUCAGUAGUAUGCUCAACCAAUUGCAAAAAUAAUAAUUGCCUAUUAGGACACUUAUGAUUAAAAGUGAACUUUUUAUCACAAAAUAACAUAGACCCUUGUCUCUACGAAGUUGCAUUUCAGCAGGGCUAAUUUUUUUAACAUUAGAAAUGCAAAGAGAGGCCCCUUGGGAGUGGGUAAUAAUCCUGGAGUGGAAUUGGUAGUAGUGGAUUUGGGCAAAGAAUGAGUGGAAUUAUAGGUGUGAGAAGCAUGAGUUGUGAUUGGGGAUUAUUUAUGGGUGUAAUAGAAGAACUAGCCUUAGACACAGGUGUGUGACGUUCUUCAAAUAUCCUAGCAAGAGCAACUGUACGUAAUAAGGUAGGAUGGGCCAUUGCGACCACAUCCCCACAGAUUUCCUUUUGAAAACCUCGCACAAAACAAUUUAACACAAUCUCAUCAUUUAAGCCAACAGAUCUGUUAGCUAAGGCCAUGAAUUUAAGAUAAUAUUCAAAAAGAGAAUAUGUUUGUGUCAAUUUAAACAACUCAACCAUAGGAAAAUCAUAAGUAGAAGAGCCAAACUGAGAUUUAAGGGCCCUGGUAAGAUCAAUCUAAGAGGGCACUGUAGAAAUCCAUGGUAACAUUUGAAACCAAAGUACCACAUCCUUAUCAAAAUGCAUUGCAUCAAUAUCAACCUGAGAUGGGUCAGGAGUAUUGUGGUAAUUAAAAAAUUUAUGUGCCUUAAAAAUCCAUUCCAAAACAGGUGUUGUUCCAUCAAAAUGAGGGAAUCUAAGAGAAAUCUGUUUGAUUGGUAAAGAUGGAAUGUCAAGGGAGUCAUUUGUAGAUAAUGAGUUCAAGGGACUUCCACCAUUAUGAGACGUGUUCUGAAGAAUCUGAUGUAAAUCCAGCUGUAUUUGAGCCAUACGCUCAUCAAGCUCAUUAAAUCGAUUGUUCAUGGUCUGGGUCAGACGAUGAAGCUCAUCAGCGUGUCUAGUAACCGUAGCUUUUAAAUCUCGUAGUCUCGUAUUCUCAGCCAUGGAAGCUCAAUGAAAGCAUCAAUGUAAUGACUAACAACUUGAAGGAGAUAUUAUAUAGUUUGAAGAAGGAGAACUUUAUGCAACAAUGUGUAUUUCAAGUAAGAAAAAGACAAUAGUAAGGAAAAGAAGAAGAUAAUAGCAGAAAAGAAAGAGAUCUCAGUAGAGAAGGAAUCCCAUAUUACUCAAUACCCAUUCACUACACAAUCCUUCAAUUUAAUACUCCUUUUCCUGUUACGCAUGCUUUUUCGUGUAGCCUCUAGACCAGGAUCUGCUACCAUGUGUCCAUUCUGCCUAACAUAAUCCUUCAUAGAUUAUUUAAUCAUAAUCGAAUUGCUCACGUCAGCCUUUGCUUCCUUUUCACGUGUUGCAAAAUACCCAUCUGCUCUUGAUCUUUUGAUGGGGCUAUUGUUGAGGUCUUAGGUGCUGGGACUAAAUAGUAUGUUCUUUUAGGAAUGAUUCAAAACUUAGAGAGUUAGUUAGUAAGUUUUAGAGUUUUCAGUUUUUAGAAUUGCAGUUAGUUUUUCUAGUUGUAAUACUUGCUAUAAAUAGCAAUUGUACUCCUUAGUGGAAUAAUUGACAAAUAUACAAGUAUUAUUUAGUAUAUACACUCUACUCUCUCAUAUACUCUUCUAUACACUAACUUCAUUUUCUUUCUCUCUUUAUUCUUGUUUCUACACAUGAUUUCACUCUGCAAAUUUUCUAUCUCAGCUUUCUUUCAACAUUCUUCAUUCUUCCAACAUCUAGUACCAAGAGCAUAUGUGAGAUUAAAGCAAUGAGUUCAAACAGUGCAAAUUUCUCAACAAACCUAUUAGUUCUCAAUGGCAAAAACUAGAACAAGUGGCGUAUACAAACGAAAGCAAACUUGAGUUAUCAAGAAAUGAGUGAACAUAUAGAAGAUGGAUUCUUAGAUCUUCCUGCAAAUCCCACUGAGGCACAAAUGGUGACUUACAAAGAAAUAGGAAGAAAGAUUGCAAGGUUAAGUUCUUACUCCAUCAAUGUGUUGAUGAAGCUCAUUUUUAGAAGAUGGCAGAGUUGUUACUUCACAAGAAGCUUGGAGAAUUCUAUAAAAAUAUAGUGAAGAAGCUGAUCAACUCAAGAAAGUGAGAUUGCAGGUGUCAAUAUGAGUUAAUGCAAAUGGAGAACAACGAAAACGUGGCUAAGUUCUUCAAAAAAAUAGUUACUCACACCAAUGCAAUGAAGGUAUAUGGAGACUAAUCUCAAAUCAGACAAUUGUUGAGAAGAAAAUAAGAACCCUCAAUCCUAAAUUUGACAACAUUCAGGUUGCUAUUGAAGUAUCCAACAAAUUGGAGGAUUUGAAAGUAGAAGAGUUGCAGAGUUCCUUAGAAGCACAUGAGCAGAGGAUAAAUGAAAGAAGGAUAGGGAAGCAUGCUGAAAGUCAAGCUUUGUUAACUCAAGUUUCAAGAAGGAGUAACUACAAUGCAAGAAGAACACAUAAUGGUUGGAAUCAAGGAAGGGAUUCCAGAUUUGGUUCUUACAGAAGUUCACAAUCCCAAGGACAGAUCAAGUGUGAUCAUGAUCAAUUAGACAAUACCAACUUAAAAUGUUAUAACACUUGGAAAGGGGGAAGAAGAUAUUUGACAAGAAAAGAGUCAAAUGCUUCAAGUGCAAUCGAAUUGGACACUAAUCCAAUGAGUGUGUAGCAAUCAACCAAAGUGAUCAUAGAGCAUACAUACUAAACACAAGCCAUCAAGCUAAUAUGGCCAUGGAAGACACAGAAGUAAGCCUUGAAGAACAACCAAUCUUGUUAAUGAUGACUACCAACCAAGAAGUGGAUAGCAAUGAAGUUUUGUACAUAGACUCAGGUUGCUCUAAUCACAUGACAGGUAAUAGAGAAUGGCUUGUGGAAUUUGAUGAAGGAAAGAAGAGUAAGGUGAGGUUUGCAUAUAACAAAUUCAUCAUGGUUGAAGGUACAAGAAAUGUGACGAUUAAAAGAAAUGAUGGAGACAGUGCAAUCAUAUCUAUAUGUCCCUGGUAUGAGGAGCAAUCUAACCAAUUUGGGUCAGCUUACUGAAAGGAGAUUCAAGAUCAAUAUUUCCAAUGGAGCUAUAGAAAUUUCCGAUGUUGUUGAAAAAAGGAUCAUAAAAGUCCCUCUAACUCAAAACAAGACUUUUCAGGUAAGCCUAAACACCAUGGAUAUUGGCUUCUUUUCAACUAUUACCUUAGCUGAUGACUCUUGGGUAUGGAAUCUAAGUCUAGGCCAUUUAAAUUUUAAAGACCUAGGCCUACUUAGUUCAAAGAAUAUGAUCCAUGGACUUCCAUCACUAGUGAACCAAAAGAAAGCUUGUGGUAAUUGCCUAAUCAGUAAGCAACCUAGAAAACCAUUCAACAUCUACACAAUGUCUAAGGCUAGUGAUGUUUUACAUACUAUCUACUCAGAUAUGUGUGGGCCACUUGAUGUUCCAUCACUAGGAGGAAAUAGAUGUUUUGUCCCAUUUGUGGAUGACUUCAGUAGAAAUUUAUGGUUGUAUUUGAUCAAGGCCAAGUGUAAUGCAUUUCCAACCUUCAAAACCUUCAAGAUUUUGGUGGAGAAGUAAUCAGGAAAGUUUAUCAGAACUCUGAGAACUGAUGGUGAGGGAGAGUUUACAUAUGGAGAGUUUGAAUAUUUCUGCAAGGAGCAUGAGAUAGUUAGUGAAGAUACACCCCCUACACUCCCCAACGCAAUGGGAUUGUAGAAAGAAGAAACAAAACUAUACUAAACAUGGUGAGAAGUAUGCUCAAGCAGAAAAAUAUUCCACUAAGCUUCUAGGGUGAAGCGGUCAUGACCGCUGCCCAUAUACUCAACAGGUGCCAAAUAAAGAGGCUAGAUUCCAUGGUUCUAGAGUAAGCUUGGUGUGGAGUCAAGCCAUUAGUCAAGCACUUUAGAUUUUUUGGCUCAUUAUGUUAUAGGCAUAUUCUAGAUCAAAGAAGAAGGAAACUUUACGAUAAAAGUGAGCCUACGAUAUUUGUGGGAUACAAUUCCAGUGGAGCAUACAAACUCUACAGCCCCAAGACGAACCAAGUCCUUUUCAGUAGAGAUGUAUAUUUUGAUGAGUCCAAUUCCUAGUGUGAGGCACAACCUACAACUAGUAUAAUUCCAAGGUUGCACAUAGAAUGGGAUGAAGCUGCUCCAGAAGAGGUGAUCAAUCAUGAGACAAUGAAUAUUGAGAAUCAACACUUGACUGAUGGUAGACAAACAUGAAGUGAAAAUCUCCCAUCUAGAGUUUGUGAUUAUCAAGUCUAAUAUGAUAGUACUAUCACUAAAGAAGGUUAUCUGAUUCAACAUCUAGCUUUAAUAGCUGAUGUUGUACUUAUUGGAAUUGAAGAAGCCAUUUCCAGCAAGGUAUGGAGAAAAGCAAUGGAAGAAGAACUAAAGAGUAUUGAAAAGAACCAUACUUGGGAUAUGGUAGAACUGCCUCAGAACAAGAAACCUAUUCUUGUUAAGUGGGUUUUCAAGGUGAAACGUAGGCCUGGUGGAUAAAUUUCCAAGUACAAAGCUAGGUUGGUGGCCAAAGGGUUUAUGCAAAGAGAGGGAUUGGACUAUUCAAAAGUAUUUGUUCUUAUGGCUAGAAUAGAAACUAUGAGGUUGAUUGUGGCACUUGCUAGCUUGCAAAAAUUGAAGAUGUGGCAAUUGGAUGUAAAAUCAUCAUUCCUGAAUGUACCACUUGAUGAGGAGGUAUUCAUAGCACAGCCUUCUGGCUUUAUAUGCAAAGGACAUGAGCAGUAGGUACUUAGGCUAAAGAAAGCAUUGUAUGACUGGAAGCAAGCACCUAGAGCCUAGAAUAAAAGGAUUAACUCUUUCCUCAAUAGUGUUGGCUUUGUGAAAUGUUCAGUGGAACGUGGAGUGAAUGUCAAGAUGUCAAGUGUAACUGACAUAAUAAUCAUAUAUUUGUAUGUUGAUGAUCUUACACUCACUGAGAGUUGUGCAUAAGGCAAUGAGUAAUUGAAGCAAAGCCUGGAGAAUGAGUUUGAGAUGACUGACUUGAGAAAUCUAUCCUACUUCCUAGGAUUAUAAUUUUCAUAAUAUGUAGAAGGAAUUUUAAUAUACCAAAAGAAAUACAUCUUAGAAGUGCUAAGGAAGUUCAAUAGAAGUGGCUACAAUCAGACAGAGACUUUAGUUGAACCUAAAUAUAAAACUCACAAGUGGAUAAGGUGAAGCUGUAGUAAAUGCAACAAUAUAUAGACAUAUUGUUCACAUCAUAUGAUACAUAUGUGACAACAAACCAGAGAUUGCAUACAAUGUGGGACUAAUUAGUAGAUUCAUGAGUGAUCCAAGGUACUCACACUUACUAGCAACUACGAGGAUCAUGAGAUACCUCAAGGGAACAUGUGUAUAUGGAAUCUUGUUCUCAACUCAUCAAGGAAAUAGUGACAACAAUCUCAAACUUGUAGCGUACUCAGAUUCAGAUUGAUAUGGAGUCUUAGUUGAUAGAAAAAGUACAAUGGGACAUAUAUUCCUACUAUCAGGCUCACCUAACUUGGAGCUCAAAGAAGCAGUCAGUUGUGGCCCUAUCAACUUGUGAAGUAGAAUAAAUUGCAACAUCCUCAACUGCUUGCCAAACAUUUUGGCUAUAAUCUUUGCUUUGUGAAAUGAAUAUACUUAAUGUAGAGAACAUAGAACUGCUGGUUGAUAGUAAAUCAACAAUAGACUUGGCCAAAAAUCUAGUAUCCCAUGGUAGGAAUAAACACAUUGAUACUAAGUAUCAUUUCCUUAGAGACCAAGUAAGAAAAGGUUGAGAUUGAUAAAAAAUUUCAUUAACUUAGAUUCAACUAAAGCAUUGCAACACUGAUUUUUAGGUGGCUGAAAACGCUGUUAAAUGUCAUACUUCAUAUAUUUAACAAUACUUCUUCAGUGAGUGCAGUUAAAAGUGUUAUAUUUAAGAGUGCUUAUUGAAACAAACACUGUUAAAUAUCAUACAUUCAUAUAUCUAACAUCACUUCUUCAGUGAGCGCUGUAUUGUUAAAAGUGUUAUCUUUAACAAUGCUUAUGGAAGAAAGUGAUGUUAAAAGUCAUACUUCAUAUAUUUAACAGCACUUCUUCAAUAAGCGUUGUUAAAGAUCAUACAUUCAUUCAUAUAUUUAACAUCACUUCUUCAGUGAACAUUGAUAAAUGCUUGUUUUAGUGAGCGAGAAUCUUUUAAAAUUCGGAAACAAAACCUCACACAAUAAUACACAUUUCACUCAGUUUAUUAUUUCUCUUACUUUUCUUCUUCUCCAUGAGUUACAUUUUUUCCUCUUUUUUUUUUUAGUUUCUCUCUUCAAGCAAGUUAUCGGUUUUUGGUUUUUGGUUUUUCUCUUCCAGUCUAAGGUAAAUCGCUAUCUUAUUUUACCUCAUUUAUUUCUUUUUGAUUCAAUAUUAAUGCUUGCAUAUACACCAUAAAUAAAAAGUCUUUGAUGUAUUUGAAUCGUUAUAUUUUUAAACAAUUAGUUUAUUUAUGAUCAAUUUGGUGGAAACAUUUCACUAACAGUGUGAUCUUUAUUUGUGGUAAAGUUAUGCAACUAUGGUGUUCUAGGUUUUUUGCUGUAGUUCACUAGUUUAGAACGUAUAGUUUGAGUAUAAUGGUAAAUGUUCUUUCUCAAUUGCUGUUAAUUUUUUAUUUUUUAUAACUUUUGCAAUUUGUUUAGAGAUGCCAUUUUUUAUUUGUAUUUGCAGCUUGCAAUAAUCAUUGAGGAACACAUGAACACCAAGUAAGGACUUGCACAUUGGAGGAAAAAGAAUGAACAAUUUGCAUAAGAUCUCAUUAUUCACAUGUUAUUUUAUAAUAUUGGAAUAUGAUAAGGUUGAAUGUAGCUGAAGUCGUUGGUGAUUUAAUAAAUCUUGUAAAUAUGGUGGAGUUGGACAUGCUUGUCAUAUAUUGGAUAGAAUGUUUGGAAGAUAUAUUGUCUUAUUUAGAAAGUAGACAUUUAACAACGCUUGCUUCAGUGAGCGCUGCUAAAUGUCUACUUUCUACAACGCUUCAAAAAAUAAUGUUAAAUAUAACCUUGUGUACUAUUGUGCUCAAUAGAAAGUGUCUCAAAAACGUUGUUAAAUGACAAUUUUAAGUGUUGUAGUUUUGAUAUUCUGGCGUAGUGAUUGUAUCUCUCAAAAUCAGACAAGAUAGACUAAUGACAUAGUGAUACAUGUCAAUAUGAGCAAAAGACAACUGUCCACCAAGUAUAGAUCUUCCAAAGCUACCUGACAUUGGAAAAGCAAUCUUCGUUUGUCCAGGAUAGACCCAACAUACCAUCUGAUCGAUCAAAUCAACCUCAUCUACAAUGGAACUCAGAUGAUAUACACAUACUUAUUAAGUUUUUCACUUUGUCUCUUACUUAUUAUUCUUUGAUACUCUAUAUAUCUCACAUAUUGGCUUGAUCGUAUGAGAACCAUUCCACGUAAUUACCUCAAUGGGUUCAAGCACUUCUGAGGCUAUACUAGAUGAUUUUGAUCAAGUUACCACAAUUCGAAUCCAUCCUUUCAAGACAAAAGAACAUAUGUGAUAUGUGGAGGUGUCAAAAUAGACUACCCGAACGGGUUCGACCUAGCUCACCUCAGGUUCAGGCUAAAAAGAAUAGAUACAAUUUAUCCAUAUCAAGUUAUAGUCGAAACCUUCCCUAAGCGGGUUGCGGGUUGUGGCGUCCGGGCACGGACAAUACUAAAAAAUAUUUAUUUAAAUUUUUUUAAUCUAUUUAAUAUAUAUAUAUAUAUAUAUAUAUAUAUAUAUUAAAUAGAUUAAAAAAAUUUAAAUAAAUAUUUUUUAGUAUUGUCCGUGCCCGGACGCCACAACCCGCAACCCGCUUAGGGAAGGUUUCGACUAUAACUUGAUAUGGAUAAAUUGUAUCUAUUCUUUUUAGCCUGAACCUGAGGUGAGCUAGGUCGAACCCGUUCGGGUAGUCUAUUUUGACACCUCCACAUAUCACAUAUGUUCUUUUGUCUUGAAAGGAUGGAUCCGAAUUGUGGUAACUUGAUCAAAAUCAUCUAUUAUAGCCUCAGAAGUGCUUGAACCCAUUGGGGUAAUUACGUGGAAUGGUUCUCAUACGAUCAAGCCAAUAUGUGAGAGAUAUAUAGAAUAUCAAAGAAUAAUAAGUAAGAGAUAAAGUGAAAGAGUUAAUAAGUAUGUGUAUAUCAUGUGAGUUCCAUUGUAGAUGAGGUUGAUUUGAUCGAUCAAAUGGUAUGUUGGGUCUAUCCUGGACAAACGAAGAUUGCUUUUCCAAUGUCAGGUAGCUUUGGAAGAUCUAUACUUGGUGGACAGUUGUCUUUUGCUCAUAUUGACAUGUAUCACUAUGUCAUUAGUCUAUCUUGUCUGAUUUUGAGAGAUACAAUCACUACGCCAGAAUAUCAAAACUACAACACUUAAAAUUGUCAUUUAACAACGUUUUUGAGACACUUUCUAUUGAGCACAAUAGUACACAAGGUUAUAUUUAACAUUAUUUUUUGAAGCGUUGUAGAAAGUAGACAUUUAGCAGCGCUCACUGAAGCAAGCGUUGUUAAAUAUCUACUUUCAAAAUAAGACAAUAUAUCUUCCAAAUAUUCUAUCCAAUACAUGAAAACCAUGUCCAACUCCACCACAUUUACAACAGAUUUAUUAUAUCACCNNNNNNNNNNNNNNNNNNNNNNNNNNNNNNNNNNNNNNNNNNNNNNNNNNNNNNNNNNNNNNNNNNNNNNNNNNNNNNNNNNNNNNNNNNNNNNNNNNNNUUGAGAAAUAAAUUUGAAUCUUAGAUAAGGAAUGUAUUUUUACUCUUUUCGAAUAGUAAAUAUUUCUCAAAUUCAACAUGAAUCUACCUGAUUCAAAAGGGAAGAACUUGCCUCUGUCUCAAUUUGAAUUAGACUGCGUACCAUCACAUAUCAUCUAAACUAUGAUAAUAUGUAAUCUUAUGUAUAUAAGAUCAUGAUUAUGGAAAAUGUUUAAAUCUUAAGUUUUAUUUAACAUGACUUUAUAAGCUUUGAUAUUACAUGAUAAUAAGAUAUAAUCAAUCCUUAUCAACAUUUUAUUAUUCCAACACACACUUUUGAUAUUCAUUCUUGUGAUGCUUGGAUCCGAAGUUUAUCAAAUGGCCAUGGUGGACAACAAUAUGUGCGAAUACAUUUGCAACCAGGACCAUAAAGUUUUUGACACUGUAUGUCUGCGCUACAAGGAAAAUGCUCAAUGCGACCCGCAUAUGAUUCUUUGCACAUAUCUGU